GAAGCUGCUGAAUGCAAGUAAGAAAGAGCUCCUGCAACUUCAAUAGCAAUUCGAAGACGCAUUUCCCAUGUAAUUGGGAACUCUUCAUUUUGGUCAUGGAUAUGUUCAGAAAGGGUUCCAUUAGGAAUGAACUCAUAGACCAACAAAGGUACUGCUGUCUCCAAACAACAUCCUAACAGUUUAACCACAUUUCUAUGAUUAAUCUGGGAUAGAAUGACAACCUCAUUAAUGAAUUGCUCAACUUUGCCAUCGCCCACUAUCUUCAACUUUUUAACUGCAACAAUUCUUCCAUCCAUUAACAUUCCUUUGUAAACAGUACCUUGGCCUCCUUGACCAAUAACCCGAUUUUCAUUAUAACGAUCAGUGGCUUUCUCCAACUCUUUGGAAGUGAACAAUUUGGUUUUAUCAACAUUUCCUUCACUUGAAGAUAAUUGUUGUUCCAAAAGUAAACCACCAUUUCUUUUAAAGCAUUUCUCCUUGUACUUAAUUUUUUGUCUCCUUUUUAGUACUUUGUACAACCACCAUGCACAAAUUACUAGAAGCAAUGUUCCAACUCCUGCUAGUAUGCCUACACAACUCACAACAAAGGAAAAAGAUUAUUUUGUCUAGCAAGCUAAAAAUAUACUAAUUGAACUAAAAAAAAAUGCUACUAAAUGAACUUCAUAUGACCCCCUCACCACAUCUAUGAACCCUAGAUUUCUAAGUUAAGAAAUAUGGUCUUACUAUAGGUAAAUCAAAAUUUAUGGGAUAAAAUCCUUUUUUCCAUAGAAUAUACUAAAUCUAUAUUCUUAUAGAUUUGCCUUAAGUUUAGUUAAAUAUGUGAAGUUGUCAUUUUUCUUUUCUCUUAAUUAUUUCCUUUUUCUUAUGCUUUUGCCAAUAUUAAUCCAUAAUUACAACAACAUCUAAUCUUAGGAGUAUUGGUAUAUCACUUGUUCCUUUUGUAAAGUAACAUCAUUGCUGAUACUAAAAAAAUGAUAGUAAAUGAACUUUAUAUCAUCCCCUCGCCACAUCUAUGAACCCUAGAUUUCUAAGUUAAGAAAUAUGGUCUUACUUUAGUUAAAUUAAAAUUUAUGGGAUAAAAUCCUUUUUCCAUAGAAUAUAGUAAAUCUAUAUUCUUAUAGGAAUACCUUAAGUUUAAUUAAAGAUGUGAAGUUGUCAUUUUUAUUUUCUCAUAAUUAUUUUCUUUUUCUUAUGCUUUUGGUAAUAUUAAUCCAUAAUUACAAAAACAUUUGAUCUGAGGAGUAAUGGUAUGUCACUUGUUCCCUUUGUAAAGGAACAUAAUUAUUGAUACUACAACUGUCAGUCUUAUAAUUCUAUGUAGGUUUUGAUUCAAACUUGGUUAUUGGAUUCUUACUUUAAUUUCCUAAUCAAGGUUCCUUCCUAGGAGAGGAACACGAAACAAAGUUUUGAGGUAUUAAAUCUAUGCAGAAUUACGGUGAAUUUUUGGAGCAAUUGGAAAGCUAAUUGACUCAAAAUACUAGCACAUGCUUCGAAGCUUAAUUUGCAAUUUCCUAGUGAAAGUUACCAUAGAAUUUCUACAAGUGGUUUUGGUAACCUACAAGUGGUUGUUGAAUGGAAGUGAAGUUGCAAUGGGAGAAGGUUGCCUCUAAGACCAUGUUUGGUAAACGAGAAUUAGGAAUGAAAAUGAAUAUUUUGUUUUCAUUCCUAUUUCUCUUUGAAUAUGAAUGAAUUUAAUAUAUUCAAUUCUUAUAAUUAAAUGCACCUAUAAAUAUAAAUAUGAGGUUGAAAUGAUUAUUUGUUUUUAUUUCAAUGUCUAGAAUACAAAUAACUUAAAGUAAUUUUUAUUUUCAUUUUUUAAUUGUUUGACCAUGUGAUUUAAAAAACAAUCUUCUAUUUUUAAAAACAAAAAAAUAUUUUUAAAAUCUUGUGAUAAAAUCUUUUUAGAGUUUGAUCAUGGGUUUGUUUGUUGUUGUUUUCUAGUAAGUGUUUUUAUAAACGAAGUAAAAUAGCAAAUAGUUUUUAUUUAUUUAAAAAGUAGAAGUUGUUUUCAUGAAUUUGAAUAAAUAAAAACAAAAAGAAAAUCAAUAUUUUUGUAUGACCCGAGCACCAGGUGCAUUCUAUGUGCUAUCAUUUAUAGAACGUAGGGUAACGUAGCUAAAGAUUGAGAAUAUUUGAUUUGUCAAAAUUAAAAAAUUGCCAAAAGGAGGAUAAAGGGCUAUGGUUUAGAUUUUGCCAACCUUGGGGUUAAGGUUCGAACUUUGGUUGUGCUGAAUUGAGCUUGUAAACCAAAAGAAUAUUGUGGCUGACAUUGUGAAUUUGUUAUACAUGAUUGAAGUAUCAAAUCUUUGACUCGACUUUUAUAAGAAAUUUUAAAAUAGAGCUUUUGUUUUGAGAAACUACAGAAUUUUUGUCCAGAGCUUUAAGCCAUGUCUCUUUCCUAGAAAUUUUGUGGGAAAGAAGAAAUAAUUUUUUUUUCUUUAAUUUAGGUUUCUUGUAAAAAAAUGUUGAGACAGAAAAUUUAAUUGUGGAUAAUUGCUAUUUUUUUUUAUAAACUUUUGUCAUUUUUAUAAAAAUAAGAAGGAAAUCCUUUUUAAGUAUUUUUUUCUAUCAUUUCCUUGGUAACAUUUUUUCAUAUUAUUAACAAGAUUUGUGAAAAUAAUAAUUUUAUAUUUGAGAAGGGUUUUGAAAAUUGUUAUGAAAAUUAAUUUUUGAAAUCUGUUUUUGAUAUUUUGUGAAACAAAAGUUUUAAAACUUGAAAUGUUCUUAAUUUAUUUUCAUAUUUUUAAUUAGUUUUUUAAAGAUAAUUUUUUAUUUAUGCUAUUUUAUUUUUAAUUAUUCUUCAUAUUUAUAUUUUUAUUUAUUUAAAAUAUUUUUAAAAUAAACAAAUAGAAACAAUUGAAAAUAACUAAAAAAUAUUUUCAAAAAAAUUUCGUUAUUUUAUGUUUUAUGAUUCCCAAAAAUGUUUUCUUAAUUUUUUUUUUAUUAAAAUUAGAAAGAAAAUAGCUUCCAAACAUAUCUUUUAUUUUUUUAAAAAAAUAGAAAGCAUGCUAUUUUGUGUCUUUUAAAUAACUCAUUAAAAAUAAUACUUGUCUUCUAAUUUUCACCAAGAUAGUCAAAGUAGUUUGAAUUUUUUUUCUCUUUCAAACUUGAGGACCCAAGGUUCAGUUAAUUUUAUUUUAAUUGUCCUUUGGAUACACUUCCCUUUUUCCUUUUAUUAAAAAACAAAAAAUAAUGGUAACUUCUAUAUAAAAUGUAUGAAAACAAUUUAAUUUAUAUUGUUAAAUAAUUAUUUAAAAAUUUUAAAAAUUUUAAUUAUUAACUUUUUUAAUAAAAUACUUCACUUUUUUUAGAACAUAUUUUAGAAAUAAUUAUCUUUCAAGAUAAUCCUUUAAAAUGUACUAAUACAACCUUAAUAAUACGACAUAGUAAAAAUUUUCACAUUGCACCGUAAAAUCUUUAUAAAAUAAUACCAUUGGAAUUAAGAAAAAUUAUUAUUUUAAUGAGGUUAUUAAUUUAUCAAUAAAUAAAUAUUUAUUAAUUUGUAAAGAGGAUUAUGUUUUUGUCAUUGAAUAUUUGUACAUGUAUGACUUAUAAAUUUAAAAUAAUGGAUGUGGUAAAAAUUAAUACAUGAAAGCUAAAAAAUCUCUGAAAAAAAGAAAGAUUAUUAAUUGUAAAAGAUAGAAAGAUUCCUAAAAAAAGAAGAGAUGUGAUGUCAAAAUUUAAUGUCAUAAAAGAUAAUAAGGUUUCAAGUAGGUGGCGAAGGAGUAACUUAAAAAAAAAAAGUUAUAAAAGUUGCAAAAUAGGAAAUUCUACUUGCUAUAUUAUGAAUAUUUUUGCUACAUGUUUGAUUUGGCUAACAACAAGCUCAACUUGGAUUGCCUCUAGGCGGACCGCUACUUCUUAGGAUAAAUUUAAAACUUAUGUCAUUCAUCAAUUAUUAACUAUAUUUCUUUGAACCAUAUUUAAAAAUAUUAUUAUCUUAUCCAUUUAGUGAGAUUAUUAAUUUAGUAAACAGCGGUCCCAGUUGAGAUAAAAGGAUUUUAUUAUUUAAGAGAGAUUAUUAAUUUAUCAAACAUUUAUUUCUUUAGGUUUUAGUGUUGGUCAAAAUUAUGGUAAAAUUUCAAAACCAUGGUUCAUAAGUACAUAUAUCCUAUGAUAUUGUUCUGAAAUUGGAUAUUGUUUUCUUUCUAAUUUGUAGUUGGGGGAGUGGAGGAAAGAAAAAGAAAGAAGAUACCAACAUACCUGGCAACACCAUUCUUCGAGGACGUGGAUCAACAAUCAACUUAUCGACCGGAUAGCAUGAAAAAUUUGCAUUCCUAUUAAUGCAUACCGUCCCAUUCUCAUAUAGCUUAUAAUUUGUACCUUCAUGUUCAAAUAAAGAAAUGAUUCAGUAAUCUUAGCUCUUACUCUGUGAAAUGAUUAAAAAAAAGAAGGAAAAUUAUGUUCAAGAGAGCAUGGGAAAGAAAAACUUUUACAAAUUGAUCAAAAUAAGAUUCUCUAACCAUGAAUCAAAGAAAGCAGAUUCUCUCCCAUCUUUUGUUAAAUGUCAUAAUUACCCUUGAUAUAUAUAUAUAUAUAUAUAUAUAUAUAUAUAUUUCCCUAUAAAUGAAAUUUUAUAUUUUGAAGAUUCCUCAUAAGCUAGCUUUUUCAAUGAAGAAGAGGAAGUAUCAACCUUUAUAAUAACACAACACAAGAAGAAACAAUUAUCUCCAUUGGAAAAAUGGUGAUGAAAAUUUGAUUUUUGUUUGUAUAGAAAUGAGGAAUUAAAAAUAGGAUUGCUGUAUAUUUGGAGGGAUAAGGGUUACCCAAGUUUAAUAUAGUUGAUGAAGAUUUAUGAACUUUUAUUCAUAAAAGAAAUAUAAAAUAUUUUCAUUGAGGGUAAUUUUGGUAUUUUGAAAAAUGAGAGAAUUUUUUUUUUUUUUAAAUGAUUUAUAAAGAAUCUUAUUUUAGUAAGUUCUUAAAAGUGAGGCUUUAAAAAUAUAUACCUAUAUGUAUAUAGAUAUAAAACUCUUGUUCUCCUAAAUAUAAUAUUCCCAAAAAAUUCACCAAUUCCCUCCUCGCAAUAAUACAGUAGACAUAGCAUCCUUCAUAAAUAUAUCCAUAUACAUAAAAUCAAAUAAAUUAACAGUCCUCAGUAGAUUGUGUACCUUCACAUCCUUCGGUAAGAUAAGGGUUGCCUUCAUAUCCCCGGGGACAACGGCAGGUGAGACUUGGGGUUUGAGUGUCAGCUGAACAGAUGGCAUUCGCGCCACAAAAACUUGUGGAUGUGUUUGAGGUGGAGGUAUUAUUCCAUCCGACUGACUUGCAUGUUGCGUUGUAUAUCCGCCAGUCCAGCACUGCUGGAGCAUGUCCCACAUCUUUCACCUUAUCUGGAUCUUGUUCCAUUGAGAUGAACCAUUCUUGGUCCACCAUGAACGCGUAUUUGCAUUCGUCCUGAUCAUCACUAUUACUAGGAAAGUCGCCUAACAUUGUAGUGAAGUACUGGAGGCCCGGAGGGAAUUGGGUUUGGCAACACUUCAAGCCAUAGCAGCUGCCAUUUUUUGCCGCAGUUGUGCCCUGUUUGCAGUAGGACAUGCAUCCCCCGAUUACUGAAUCAUUCUGCGUGAUGUAGGCCAGGGUGCUGCAACCCACAGCAGUGAAUCUAGUGUAGGUGUCAGAGAAUGAAAAGGGGCCUCCCUCCCACGACUGUGCGUCGUUUGACGGUUUGCCGGAACAAUUCAUAUAACCGAGUACUGGGUUGUUUACCCGGAUGGUGCUACGAUUUAAUGAAACAUUCAGCACCUCCAGAUUCAGUAUUUUCAGGAAAGGCUUGGGAAUGUGAGGGUGGAUAGAGUUGUUGCAAGUUACUUCGAACCAUUCAUCAAAGUAGCAACCAGCAGAUCCAAUUCCGAAGGGGUAUGGAAUGUCAACGUCUCCACACGUCUCUAGACAACCAGACUUCCCUUGAGUUGCUGCUAAUCCUCUGCUUAGCCAUAGUAAUAAGGAGAUCUGAAGCAGCCAUCGAACAGUACUCAUCCUUCUCCAGUAUGCUCUCUUAGGUUGUUUGUUGAAUUGAGAUUCAUAUGCAGCAAGGUAAAGUGUCCUUAAAAAUAAAAUAUGCUCCAAGUAUCUCAUACUAGUCAACUGAGGAAGUCAAGCUUGGUUCUUUCCUAUGCUUUUCUUCUAGUGCCUCAUCACCCUAAUUGAGCACCCAACUGGGACCACACGACGAAUACUGAGUUUGAUACAUGCCCUUGUAACUUUCUGUGUAGGGAGUCCCUUGCAAGGAAGUGGCGAUGAUAUUUCCUUGGUUCAUACCGAUGAUUUUGACGUACGCCUUAUCUUUUGAUUGGCCAACUAUUUGGUUGAAGUCUUCAGAAAGUAAUUGGAAAUUGCGCGCAACAAUAGGAAGUGGCGAUGAUAUUUCCUUGGUUCAUAUCGAAAUUACUCAAUACUCAAAUAAUUCUAUGAAAAUUUGUUUUAUAUCGACUUGACUCAACCGAAUAUUACUUAGAAUCUCAAAUAAUAAAAUAUAAGGGCCUACCUAGAGAAUAUUGCAUGUGAUCCACGAUGAAGAAGCCAAUUCAAAUUUUGGUUUGGAAGUUCUUCUGGUCCACAAGAAGAUGUUUCUUUCUUUGCAACUUCAUUAUAUGGUCGUGAAGUCUUGUUUCAUCCUCUACAUGUGAAUCCUAAUAUUUUUUUUUUCUUCGAAUAUAAAAUUGAAAAGUACAAAACACGUGGUCAAAGACUCUCGGAACCAUGACUUAAUGAAAGGAAAUGAUUCGACGGUUGGUGACUAAUUGGCAAAACUAAAUCACACUCAACUCUCAAAUAAUUUUGUUGAAGAUUUUAAGAUAAAUUUCAUUCAUCUAUUAAUUUGAAAUUUUAUUAAAUAUUUCUCUCAUUUUAAAUCAAAUGAGAGGUGGAUGAAAAUAACAAAUAAAAAAGGGAAGAAAGUUUUUUUUGAUAAGAUUUCAAACUAAUGAUAAUUAAUUGUAUUUAACCUAAAGCUUAAGAGAAGUGAAUGAAAUUAACCCUUUAAUUUUAUUACUAUAAAAUAGUAAUACUUUAUACAAUCAUAAUUAUGGCAUUUUCUUAAUUUUCUCUUGUGAGCUUAAGCUAAUUUCAUUUUUAUUUUUUUUAAUGUAUAAAGUAACGAUCUUUCGUGAAUAUUAAUUUGUUAUUUGAUGGUGAAAGUAAAUCUCAAGUAUGGACUACACCUAGAGGGAAGGUGAAUAGGUGUUGUUGAACAAGUUUCAAAGGUCUUCCAACACAAUUUAUCUAAGUUUAUAAAUUUUUACAAUUCUCUACUUUUCUUUCCAAACACUAUGCAACAUAAAGUAAAGAUCACAUACAAAUAUGAAUACAACAACAUUACCCAAAUAGUUCAUAAGUGCAAUUUCUCAGUGAUUCAAGUUUCCACUUCUACUGAAUAACAUUGUCCAAAAUAAACAUAGCCACUAUCCAUGAUAUCCAAAUGAAAUCACACCUAUAUUAUCUCACUGUUCUUCCAAUCAACUAUAUCCAUAAGUAUCAAAUGUAAAGCUAAACUAAAAAUUAAUCAAGCAUUAGAGCAAGACAAAGAGAGACAGGUCACUAGGAUUUAUAUGGAAAACCUUUGAAGAGGUAAAAAACCAUGUGCCUACAACCAAUUAAAAAAUCCACGAUGAAGAACAAGCAAUAUGUACAAGGAUUUACCUAGCUCAAGUCCUCUAAUCCUUCACAGACUACUUGACCAACACCUUCACACUUCAGCUGCAAACCUUCAUCUUCGGGAACAUACUUGACAUCCUCACUAAGCUUGAUCUUGGCAUUUUCACCAAGCUUGACCUCAGCCUCCUCACCAAGCUUGAUCUCAGCCUCCUCUUAAAGCUCACUCAAGAAGAAAUGAGUUUUCACCCUAACCCAAAUAUUAUAGAAGUUGAGAGAUGAAUGAAGUAGACAAUCAACCCAUUUGUUUUACAAAAAAAAAAAAACCGUUGAAAACAAUAUGGAAAAUAGGAAGAAGGUUGGAUUUUCUCAGUAACCAAGCCACCCAAAUUAGGAAAGGAAUGAGAUAACCCAAGGGGAAACAAUUGCAGUGUCUCUUUAUACUUUUGGAAGCAUAUUUUGCCUUUUAAAGGUAGGAGAAACCCUUGGUGUUCAAUCAACUGGUGUGCUUUGAUUUCAGUCCUUAGGCAGGAGUAAUCAACAAAAUUUAUAAACCUAUUUCACCAUAUACUAGGGUAGCAUUAGCUAGCAUAGCAUAGUGACUCUAGGAUCGUUCACUAGGAUGAGUUUUCACUUCACAAUUGAUAUUAGUUAAAGAGCUGAAUUGAUGUUUUUUCUUUUCAGGGUUAGCUUUAAAAGAAAACAUAAAUUUGUAUGAAAAAAGGUUAGUUUUAAAUGAAACCAAAAAUAGAGUAACUGAAAUUACAUAAAAAGAAAAGUGGUUCUUGGAGUUUUAGGUUACUAGGUUCAGGUGCCUUAUACAAAAAGGGAGAUUCCAGUCACUUGGAUCUUUUCCUCGCAUUGGGGAUUUAACAUAUAGUUAUUUCCCAAACCGGUGUGGUACAGAUGCUUCCCCUUAAUGGGUUCAAACACUAAUUCCCUAUCACUGAAUCAUUUUGCAAUGGUUCAUACCUCUCACCUAGUAUUUGCCAUUCAAGGUGAUCCUUAACCUUGGAUUACCCGUCAAAAGCUUGCAAGAGAUAACUAAUGGAUGUCUCCUGGAAGUCCAAAAGCUUACUAAGUGUUGGCUAUUCUAGAUAAUCCUACCUUUAAACCACCUCCCAGAGGCUCGCAAGAGAUAAAAUAGUGUAUCUCAAUGGACGGAGACCACUUGCCUUACCAAGUGUUGACCUAGGUGAUUUUAAGGAAUUUUAAGUUAACUAAAAAGAUAAAACCAUUAACGGAUCACACUUUCUCUUCAUUAAAAACUGAAACAACAAAACUUCCAAUUUUGCAUUCAGAACCUUACCCAACUUCCUUCACUCCAAGAACCAAAAAGCCUAGCCACUCAUCCUUUGGGAAAACAUCCUUAGAGUUUAAUUUGCUAGAAAUAAAAAUAAAAGAGAAAACAAAAUGAGUAGGUAAGGUAGAGCAAAGCUCUGUGUAUUACUUUCUUCAAACUAUACAAAAGUGUUCGUCUCUGAGAAAACUUUCGAGUCGUCUUUUAAAAGAAGAUUACAAUAGAUUAUAUAGAAAGGCUAUUCACCCUUCCUUCUUACUUCCUAAUUAAGGAAUCCUAUGAUUGGUGGAUUACAAGGAGAAAAUAGGGAUUUAUACAAAAAUAUCUGAAGAAAAAAUCUAACGGAGUCGGUGCAAAUAUCUGGGAUUACAUAGGUGGAUUUCGCAAGUUGAAAUUGUCCAUUUUGCAAGUUGAAAUUUGAUUUCGCAAGUUGAAUUUCUAAUUUCGCAAAUUGCAAACUUGUCUUUCAACUUGGUGCGGUUGUCUUCCAAUGGCCAUAACUUCUUCAUUUCAGCUCCGAUUUGCACCCCGUUUGAAGCGUUGGACUCCUAACUUCCCAAGAUUCGAAACGAUAUAUAGUAUGUAUAAAAUGGACUCCAAGAAUUACUCAAAAUGUGUCCUGCAACUGCUCUUCUCUUGAAUUUCUUCAUGUUAGAUUCCUCUCUUUGUUUUUCCUCCUUGCAUUCUUGAUUGUCAUUGGCAAAGGACUACGAAGCUCCAAAGCUUGGAUUCUUUAUGUAAAUGAGCUUCCAUUUGCUUUGCCAUGGACUAUACAAAGCUCUCCCUCAUUAUUGGAUUGUUUUGGUGAUCAAAAAGCUAUAAAAAAACACUAAAACUUGCCACAAUUUGAUUAGAAACACUUGCAAGGGUCCUUAACGUGUCAAUUGAAUUAAAAGGUAAUAACUACUACGCAAAAGAGUUUAAAAGAGUUAAUUACAAGCUAUAAAAUAGCACUUUUUGAGUAGUAAUCAACUUGCUUCUUUCUCAAUGUCAUUACAUUAUGGAUCUUUUAGCUUGUAUAUGAAUGAUUGAUGCAAAGCCAAUUACUACCCCACUUGCUACUGCUCCAACUCUUGAUCUUUACUCUAGCAUUGCUCUUUCAGAUCCAUCUAAAUACCAAACCAUAGUUGGCAUUUUGCAAUACUUGUUGCUCAUAGGGCCUGACAUUGCAUAUCUGAUAAAUAAACUAUCUCAGUUUAUGCAUCGCCCCACCCAUGACCAACGGAAUGCUGUGAAGUGAUUAUUGCAGUAUCUCUAUGGGACCUGUACUGAUGGCCUUCUCUUCCAUCGAAAAUCUCCUUUAUCACUUCAUGUUUUUUCUAUUAUUGAUUAGGCAGGUAAUAAAGAUGACUAUACUUCUACCAAUGCUUAUGUUGUUUACUUGGGUCGCAAUCUUAUCUCUUGGAGUUUGAAGAAACAAUCGGCGAUUGCCCAUUCCUUAACAGAAGCAAAAUACAAAUCAGUUGCUACUAGUACUGCUAAAUUCAAUUGGAUUUGCUCACUUCUCACUAAACUUAGAGUUCCUUUGUUUGUUCCUCCUAUAAUCAACUGCGACAAUGGAAACUUUUUUGUAGAAUGUUAAUGUAACACUCUUAGGCUUCCAUUUAUUUCCAUCAUGUCAAGUGAUUGUAAUGGAUUUCAUUUUUUUUAUGUUGCCCUGCUUUCAUGCGUUAGGACUUCAUGCAUUAUAUUACAAUGUAGCAUCUUUGCAUAAUGGUUUAUCCAAUUUGAUAGCAGAGUCAACCUAAUUAUCAAUUGCUAUGUAGUCAAUUUGAUUUUAGAAUUUUUUAUUCACUUGGAGGAAGGUCUCAACUAUGAAAAGAAUGUUAUACUUUUGAUUUUUGAUUCAGUUGGAAGGACAAGUAGUGAUUACUACUCAAAAAGUACUCUUUUAUAGCUUGAAACUAACUAUUUUAAACUCUUUUGAGUAGUAGUUAAUACCUUUUAACUCAAUUGGCACAUUAAGGAACCUAGCAAGGGUUACUAAUCAAUUUUUGGCAAGUUUUGGUGUUUUUGGUAGCUUUUUGAUCAUUAAAACAAGCCAAGAAUGAGGGAGAAUUGGGUAAAGUCUAUGGCAAUGCAAGUUAAAGCUCAAAUACAUGAAGAAUCCAAGCUUUGGAGCACUUCAUAGCCCUUUGCCAAGCUAAUCAGAGAUGCAAGGAAGAAAGCUAAAGGAAGAAAUCCAACAACAAGAAAUUUUGCAUGGCUGUGCGAAAUUUUGCACACCAUGCGAAACCACUUGAGGCAGCCAAGGAUUUCGCACACCAUGCCAAAUUUUGUAUGGUAUGCAAAAUCUUCCUGAGCACCGACUCCGUUAGAUUUUUAUCUUCGGAUAUUUUGUGUAAUUUCCUAGUUUCUCCUUGUAACCAGCCUAGAUAUUUUCUUAUAUAUCUUUUUAUAUAUCUUUUAGGUAGCUUAUAUAUAAAGGAAGAGAGAGGAGAUGAUUAUUAUGUAUGUUUUUCAUAAAACACUUGUAAAAUUUAUGUAAUAAGAAAUAUACAGAGCUUUUGCUCUACCUUACCUUCUCAUUUUGUUUUCACUUUUCUUUCUAGCCAAGCAUCCUUUGAGGAUGAUUUCUCAGGGGAUGAGUGGCUAGGUUUUACAUUUCUUGGAGUGAUGGAAGUCAGGUGAAGGACUUGAAUGCAAAGGUGGGAGUAGUCCUUGCUAUAAAUGACAGUAGUUGUUAACCAUCAAUGGUUUGUAUUUCAAGGUUUAGCUUUAAAUCCCUUAAAAUCACCUUGAAUGGCCAAUACUUGGUAAGCUUUUCGGAUUCCAUGGAUGCUUAUUGCUAGAUUCGUGGAUGUCUAUUAGUUAUCAUUUAUGAGCCAUUAGAAGGUGGUUCAAGGUAAAAUCACCUUGAAUGGCCAAUACUUGGUAAGCUUUUCGGAUUCCACGGAUGCUUAUUGCUAGAUCCAUGGAUCUCUAUUAGUUAUCAUUUACGAGCCAUUGGAAGGUGGUUCAAGGUGAAAGUCUUUAGUGUUUGAAGCCAUUAAUGGGAAGCAAUUACCAUUUCUCAUGAAACCUUUGGAUCAAAUCUUAACUGCUAAAUAUAAAACCGGUUCGGGAGAUAACCAUCCUUUAUGUUAUUAUCCUCAAUGCGAGGAAAAGAUCCAGAAUCUCCCCCUUUGCCAAAGGAACUCGAUCCUAGUGACCUAAAGCUCCAAGAGACCUUUUCUUUAUAGUUAAUUUCACUUAUUGUUUUUGCUUAACUUAAAAUCAAUCUUUGCAACCUCAAUUCCAUUUUCUUUAAAAGCUAAUUUUCAUAAGGAAAAACACCCUUUGAUUUCCUUCACUAAUGUCAACUGUACGAUGAAAACCCAUCCUUGUGGACGAUCCUAGAACCACUAUACUAUGUUAACUAUGCUACCCUAGUGUGAGGUGAUUUAGGUUAUAGAUUUUGUUGAUAACACCCGUCUGAGCCAGAAUCAAAUGACAUGACUGCAAUAGGGACGAAUCAAGUAGGAACUGAGAUUUUGGAUUCCAAAUUCUUUAGCAACAUGCAUAUUAUAUUCCACUAGUCAAAAGAAAAGACAUCAUUGGAAAUACCAAAUACCAAUAUUUUUAUUUUUCACAUGCAAUGGAUUAAAUGGAACUCAAGGCAAGUCAAGACCCUUCUUUAUUCAAAAGAGAGUAUAAAUGACUUAUCUUCCACAUCAUUAUACCCCAAAAGUAAUUGCAAAGUGGAGUGAGAUGAAAUUUUUUUGUGAUAAAAAUAAAUAAAAGCAUAAAAAAUAUCAUCCACUUGUCAAUGUAUUUAAUCUACAUUGGUUUCAAUUUCAUUAAAAAAAAAAACUAUCAAUUUUGUUCAUGAAAGUGGAAAGUGAAGAGAUGAUAUUCAUGUUUUAAGAUUAAGUAUUUGCUUGUUAAUGGAGAUGAUGCUUGUCAUUCAGGUGUCUUAAUAGUCGUAAACUUCUGGUUGAUGUUUAGUUGGUUCCAAAAUUAACACUUCACUUAAUACUUGAUUUAGAUUUUACUAUUAUUGAUUUUUCUAUUUUUGAGUUUUCCAAUCAAUACAAAUUUGAAUGCACUUGCAUUUUGCUAUUCUAAAUGCUUGGGAUCAAGGCUUAUGCCUCUUCUACUCAUAUCUAAUACCAAAAAUAAUGUGGCCUUAUAGUUGUUUACAACAAUGCUUCAAUAACACUUCAAGUAGGCUCUUAUACUUUGUCGUUCUAACUACUUGCAUUUUCAAAAAUGAACUUAAUCCCAAUGUUUUACAUUGUUCAUGAUGGUUAACAUUAUACUAGUUGUAUUUCUAAAUAGUUUGCACUUGUGAACUCUUUUGUAAAUUUACCUUUGCCACUUGUCCAAUAUCAACUAAUUGGAUGGAGAAAAUUUACAUUUAUACUUUCUUAUUUUUAAGAAAAAAAAUUCAUAAUUUUCCACAUUUUAUUUGGAUAUUAAAAAAUAAUAAUUUUCUUAAUCAAGAUGAAAGAAAUAUAACUAGGCUUGACCAAAGAAAAAAAAAUCCUCCUUGACAACAUUUAUAAAAGUUAUGAACACUUGCUUGUAAUAUGAAUUGUGAAAAAGAAAAGCCAAACCAUAAUUUUAUUGAAGUCAAAAGGCAAGAUGAAGUGGUAUUAUUUCUUCUAAUUAAAUAAGAAGCAUCAUACAACAACAUUAUGUUCAACUAAAAAUCAUUCCCAUAUAAUAAGAAAAAGUAUGCUUACCAUCUUAAAAUGACCUUUGAAACAAUAGACAUUAAACAUUUAAUGAAGAAGAUGCAUUAGUAUUCAAGCAAGACCCCGUUGAAGCGGAGGCAACAUCCCAAGGCCCAAUCAAUUCAGUGGUUUCGUAUUCAAUCUCCUCAGAAUUCUCUUGAUCUCUAAAAUCUCCUUGACACUUUCUCAUGCUUUCCAACUCCAUUGCAACUUCCAUCAUUGUAGGUUUUUUCCUCCCAUUCAAGUUUGUGCAUCGUCUUGCAAGAAAAGCUACCGCAUUGAUCUCUUAUUUCCUACCCUCGUUUACAACUCAAGCAUCAAGAAAAUCUGAUAAACGAUCUUCUUUCAUGGAUAAUAUGAAAUAUGAGGCUAAACUUUUCCAUUCUUUUGAUCUAGUUGACAAGAUUGGCUUUUUCCUAGUUAAAAGCUCAAUAAGAACUAUUUCAAAACGAUAGACAUCACUCUUUUUAGUAAAUUGACUUUAUUGGAAGUACUCUGGGUCUAAGUUUUGAUCAAUGAAAACAAAUUUUGAAGUUCUAAAGUCCGCCACUUUUGCUCAAUAUUUAUCAUCUAAAAGUAUGUUAUUUGAUUUGAUAUCUUGGUGAUAGAUUGGUACAGAAGCUGUUGAAUGCAAGUAAGAAAGAGCUCCCACAACUUCAGUAGCAAUUCGAAGAUGCAUUUUCCAAGUAAUUGGGAACUUUUCAUUUUGGCCAUGGAUAUGUUUAGAAAGGGUUCCAUUAGGAAUGAACUCAUAGACUAACAAAGGUACUUCUAUCUCCAAAAAACAUCCUAAUAGCUUAACCACAUUUCUAUGAUUAAUUUGGGAUAGAAUGACAAACUCCUUAAUGAAUUGUUCAAGUUUUCUAUCACCCACUAUCUUCAACUUUUUAACUAUAACAAUUCUUCCAUCCAUCAACAUUCCUUUGUAAACAAUACAUCUAUGAACCCUAGAUUUGCAAGUUGAGAAAUGUGGUCUUACUAUAGGUUAAUUAAAAUUUAUAGAAUAAAUUCUUCUUUCCAUAGAAUAUAGUAAACCAAUAUUCUUAUAUAAAUAGGUUAAGUUUGACUAAACUAUGCAAAGUUGGGUCAGUUUUCUUUUCUCUUAAUUAUUUCCUUCUCUUUUGCUUUUGCCAAUAUUAAUCCAAAAUUUCAAAAACAUUUAUCUUAGUUGUAUUGGUAUUUCACUUAUUCAUUUUGUAAAAUAAACAUCAAUGUUGAAACUGCAAUUGUCAUUUUUGCUUCUAUAUUCUUAUGGGAAUAUCUAUAAUUCUAUUUAGGCUCUCUUUCAAACUGGGUUAUUGGAUUCCAUGUGCAAUCAUUUAUAGAACAUAGGGUUAGUGCAAACUGGUUAGUCUAAGUUCAAACUUGACUUGAAAAUCAUAGGUUGAUCUAGCCUUUUGACCCAGCUCAAGCUUACAUACCCAAGGAAUAUUGAAAAUAUUUGGUUUGUCAAAAUUAGAAACUUGCCAAAAGAAUGAUAAAAGGUUAUGGUUUAGAUUUUUCCAACCUUGGGGUUAAGGUUUAAACUUUGGUUGUGCCGAAUUGAACUUGUGAGCCAAAAGAUUGCAGUUGGCAUGGUGAAUUUGUUAGACAUGACUAAAGUUUCAAAUCUUUGACUCAACUUAUAUAAGGAAUUUUAAAAUAGAGCUUUUGUAUCGAGAAACUACAAAAUUUUUGUCCAGAGCUUUAAGUUGUGUCUCUUUCCUAGAAAUUUUGAGGAAAAGAAAAUAUAUAUUUUUUUCUUCUUGUAUAAAAAAUGCUGAGACAAAAAAUUUAAUUGUAGAGGAUUGCAAUUUGUUUGAACUUUUCUCAUUUUUAUAAAAAUAAGAAGGAAAUCAUUUUUAGUACUUUUUCUCUAUCAAUCAUUUUUAUUUAUUUAUUCAUUUUUGCAUAAGAUAUGAAAAAAAAAAAAUUUCCUUUCUUUACUACUUCAUGAAUGAAAUAUGUCCUUACCAAAAAAAAAAUCUUCUUAAUAAUUUUUUAAUAAAAUUUAUGAAAAUAAUAAUUUUAUCUAUGUUGAGAAGUGUUUUUGAAAGAGUUCACAAAAGAUAGUUUUUCAAAACUAUCUUUGAAAAUUGUUUUUUUUUAGAAUAAAAGUUCUUGAAAUGUUUUUAACUUAUUUUCUAUAUUUUUAAGUAGUUUUUAAAAUAUCUUUCCUCCGUAGUACUUAUUUUUAAUCAUUUUUCAUAUUUUAUAUAAUUAUUUGUUUAAACAACCUUCAAAAACACAAGUAAGAAUAAUUGAAAGUAAUUAAAAUAUAUUUUAAAAAAUAUUUUGUUUUAUUUUCAGUUUUAUGGUUCUCGAAAACGUUUUCCUAUUUUUUUUAUCAUUAAAAGUAGCAAACUAUUUUUAAAAUAGCUUCCAAACCUACCCUUUAUUUAAAAAUAAUAAUAAAUUAGAAAGCAUCCUAUUUUGUGUAUAUUAAAUAUCUCAUUAAAUAAUAAUACUUGUCUUUUAAUUUUCGCUUAGAUAGUCAAAAUAUUUUAAUUUUUUUUUUCCCUUUAAAACUUGUAGACCCAUUGUUAAGUUAAUCUUAAUUUAAUUCUCUUUUCGAUACAUUUCCUAAACAAAAUAAAUGAUAACUUCUAUAUAAAAUAUAUAGAAACUCUAACAAAAAAAAGUAUGAAAUUUAGUUUAUGUUUUUAAAUAAUUAUUUAAAAUUUUGAAAUAAUGCAUAGCGUCCUAUUAUGAAAUAGCUUAAAAUUUGUACCUUCAUGUUCAAAUAAAGAAAUGAUUCGAGAAUGUUAGCUCUUACUCUAUCAAGUGAUUAAAAAAAAAAGUAAAUACAAAGAAUUAAUUGAUAAAAAUAGGAAAAUCAUGUUUAAGAGAGCAUGGGAGGACUAUUUGAAAAGAAAAAACUUACUUUUACAAAUUUAUCAAAAUAAUAUUCUCUAAGCCUUAACAGAAGAAAGUAGACUCUCUCCCAUCUUUUAUUAAAUGUCAUAAUUACCCUUGAUGAAAAUAUCUUCAUCUUUUUUCGUUUUUUAUUUUUCAAAAAUAAAAUUUUAUAUUUUGAAAACUUCUCGGAAGCUCUUUCGCCUUUCGGUGAAGAAUAGGAUGCAAGUCUCAACCUCAAUAAUAACAUGAGAAGAAACACUUUUUUAUAACUUCUACUAUAAAGAAUAUUAUAAAGUUUAAAUAUUUCUUAUUUAUGUCAUAAACUUUGAAUAUUCUUUAUUGUUACGAUUUUAGAAUACAUUGUUGGGAGAUUUAUUUAGUUGACUAUCUCCAUUAGGAAAAUGGGUAUAAAAAAAUUAUGAAAAUUUGAUUAUUAUUUUUAAAAAAAUAUUUUUUUUAUAGAAAAGAAUAAUGUCAAUUAGGGGAAAGAUGAAUGAAGAUUGGGUCUUUGACCAACUCAUUUAUCCCCCAUUUUUUAUUUUAUUUCUAAAUUAGUGUAAGGAUAAUUUUACCGGCUCUUUGAUUAUUAUUAUUACUUUAAAAUUUUUAACUAUUUUUAAUUUUAUAAUUUUUUUUUAAAAAUAAUUUAACCUGUGAAAGUUUUCAAAGUAUGAAAUUUUAUUUAUAAAAGAAAUAAAAAUAUUUUCAUUGAGGGUAAUUUUAGUUUUUUUUUUAAUUUAUUUAUAAAGAAUCAUAUUUUUUAAAGUUUGUAAAAGUGAGGCUUCAAAAAAAAUGAAACAAAAUAAAACUCUCUUGUUCUCCUAAUUUUCCCAAAAAGAAAAAUUACCAAUUUCCUCCUCUCAAUGAUAGAAUAGAUAAAAUCAAACAAAUUAGCAGUAGUAAGUAGAUUGUGUACCUUGACAUCCUCGGGGAAGAUAAGGGUUGCCUUCACAUCCCGGGGGACCACGGCAGGUGAGACUUCAGGUUUGACAGCUAGUCGAACAGAGGGCAUUCGUGCCACAAAAACUUGUGGAUGUGUUGAAGUUUGAGGUGGAGGCAUUGCAUGUUGCGUUGUAUAUCCGCCAGUCCAGCACUGCUGGAACAUAUCCCAUAUCUUUCAACGCAUGUGGAACUUGAUGUAUGCCUAGUCUUUUGAUUGACCAACUAUUUGGUUGAAUCUUCAGAGAGUGAUUGGAAGAAGCCAGUGCAAAUUUUGGUUUGCAAGUUCUUCUGGCCCAGAAGAAGACAUGUCUUUCUCUGCAACUUCAUUGUAUGGUUGAGAAGUCCUUAUCUCAUCCCCCACUUGUGAUUUGCUAAUUUCUUCUUUUCGUUGGAAUAUAAAACUGAAAAGUAAAAAGGUCUUUGUCAGAAACUCUGGAAACCAUGACUUAAUCAAAGGAAAUGAUUUGAUCGUUUGUGACUAAUUGGGUAAACUAAACAACACUCGGAAUCACAAAUAAUUUAGUCUAAGCUUUAUUUAAUGUUAGCGUAGAUUUCAUUCACAUUCGUAAGUUUGAGCUAACAUAUUUAGUUCUUGUAAGUUUGAAAAUAAAAUUUUCAUCAAAUACUUUUCGAAUUUCAAAUCAAAUGAAAGGUGAAUACAUAGAAAUAACAAAUGAGAAUUGGAUAGAAAGUAUUUAAUAAAAUUUCAAGUCAAUGAAAACUAAGUGUAUUUAGCUUCAAUCUUAAGAAAAGUCAAUGAAAUUAACCCUUUAAUUUUAUUAUUAUAAAAUAUAUCGGAAGAUUAGGAGCCUUGUGGUAUGUAUUCUUAUAGAAGAAUGUUUUUGGGUUAUGUAAAUACUCCAACCACUUUCUAAGGUGUAUGAUGGGCAUAUUUUCAGAAUUAGUGGAAAUUAAAAGGUAUUGGAGAUUUUCAUGAAUGAUAUUCUGUAAAUAGAGCUAAUUAUGAGGAAUAUUUGAAAAUUUUAGAAGCAGUUUUGUUGAGAUGUAUAGAGAAAGGACUUGUUCUUGAUUGGUAAAAGUGUCGAGACUAAUUUAUGGUGAGCAAAGAAAUUGUCCUUGGGUACAUCAUCUUUGCAAGAGGAGAUAAGGUCAAUCAAGCUAAAGUUCAAAGUGGAGCUUCCUAAGCCAUCUACACUAAAGGAGGUUCUCCCAUUUAUGGGGCAAUGUUGGUUUUUAUAGAAGAUUUAUCAAAGAAUUUUUAAAAAUUUCUCAUCCACAUGCACUUUGUUUCUUGUUAAAGAAUUGAGAGAUUUGUUGAAAUGAUGAUUGGCAAAAAGUUUUCCACGUUUUGAAGGAGAGGCUUUCUUCAACACCAAUUGUAGUACCUAAUCAAAGACUUUUCAAAAUUGCUCAACGCUACAAGAAAUAAGAGAAACAAUGACGUUUUUUAAGUGUCAAGGAAGAGAAAAGAUGACACUUCUAUAAAGCAUCAUCUUUUCAUUGUAUAUAUUAAUGAACAAUGAUGCUUUUGGGAAGCAUCAUCUUUGAUUAAUACUUUCAACAACACCUAAAAAGUGCCAUCUCUGAAUAAUAUUAACAAUGACACACAUAGAAGUGUCAUAGUUGAAUAUUUUUUACAAAAUUAUCAAUCUUGAUAGUUAUAAAGCAUCAUCUUUGAUUAGUAUUAUCAAUGACACUUUUAGUAGCUUCAUCUUUGAAAAUUUGCUAUUAAAAAUAAUAUUUAUAUCCUCUUACUAAAAUAACAAAUUUCAUGUGUAAUUAAAUAAAAAACAAUUUACAAGUCAUAAAUUGAAUUCAAAUUUUACUAAUUAAAAUAUCUUCAAAUAUUGAUGUAAAAUAACUUAGUUCGAACAAUUCAAUUAAAGUAACUACUUAUAUACAAUAGUUACAUCCAAAGUUAUUAAUUAUAUCAAAAUAUUUCAACAACAAUUUCCAAGUCUUUCAAUAAAAGAACAAACAUGAAUGCAAAGACCAUUAAGAUAAACCAUAAUCUAUAAAAACCUAAUUUAACCUCCUAAUGAGUUCAAUGAUCAAUGUAAUCUUCAUGGUUUUUGGCACGCACCUCCAUCAAUAUAAUGAUUUUUCUUCUUUUAGCAAACUAGUUUGCUUUGCAACCUGUAAAAAAGAUAGAAAGGAUAGAAAAUUUCUAAAUUAUACAUGCAAUAACUAAUAAGUAUAAUUGAAAUGAUAACCUUUUACAAAUGUUUGAGAAAAAAAUUAUAACAAUUAGAACUAAUAUAAAAUGAAAUAUAGAAAACAAUUGAGACUACCAUCUUGACAUUGAAUUUUAGUUGAAAGCCAAGAGCCCAUCUUCAAUAAUGCAGUCAAGGGAAGAGCAACAAUUGAACCUAGGGAAUCAAUCAUGAUAUAUGCAUCAAUACAAAUCUAAUUAACAAACAAUCAAAUAGCCCAAAAUUGAGAACCUAAGGAAAUAGAUAAGAUAAAACAUCCCAUACUAUCCAAGUCAACAUACCUUUAAGCCCAUUGUAUACAUUGAAAACAAUAGAAGGAUCUAAAUACAUUUAUAAUAUACCUUAGGAUAAGCAAUAGAAGGAUUUAAAUACAUUUAUAAUAUACCUUAGUAUGAACAAUAAAAGUAGACCCAAGAAUUUGACACCAUAUAAAGCUAUCUAUUUACAUCAACACUAUUGUUUGAACAUCUACAGAGCAAAAGCAUCUUAACUUCAAUUUGUUUAAGAUACAUGGAAGAAUUCUUUCAAACAUUCAAUAACUAGUCAAUUCAAUAAUCAAUUAUUUUGGACUUACAAAUUGAUAAUUAGCUUGAAAUUUAUGUAGCUACUAAUUCCAAUCUGCACAAUUUCAUAUGGGACAUAGAUACAAAUCAAUGAUAGGCUAGAUGCUCAAUAGUCUUAUAAACAUAUGCUAAUAAUGUCAGAAAAUUCAUCUCCAAGCUAAUCAAAUUACUUCAAGUUAAAAUGAGAGGCACAAGUUUCAUUUUCUUUUUUAAAAAAAAAAUAAAUUUCCAAACAAUGAAACAUAAAGGAGAACUUAAAGUUUCAUAGAAAACCUUAUAUUCUACAACUAUAUAUAUAUAUAUUUCAUAUCAUGAGACACGUAAAAUGAUUAAAAUCACUAUACACUAUGACACUAUUGUUCAAUCAUUCAUCAGUUUCAUGAGUUUGUAUGGAAAAUUAGAGAUCUCAAUUGUUGAAUGGUUUGAUGAGAAGGGAUUUUUCAUUACUAUUAACUAAAUGUUUGUAUCCUAUUAAAAAAAAAAAAAAAAAAAGGCAAGUGAGGCUUUAGGUGGAAAAAUCCAACUUUUUUGCAUCUUCUUUUCUAGUGACCCAAAAUGACAAUCACUAACAUCACCAUAUGUACAGAUUGAAACCUCAACCCACCCAAACCACAUCCUACCUAGUCACUAACUGAUCUUUGGAUCCAAGGUCCAUUUGUUAUAUUUGUUAUUGUAUAAAUCCAUUAGCUAAACAAAUCAAAUCAUGGUUAUUAUACAAGAUUAAAAUGAGACAAAUUAAAAAAGAACUCACGUUGAUCACAUAGACCCUAAAUAGUAAAUUUCAAAUUAAUGGAUUUCAUUCAAAUCUUAAAAAUCCAAAUCCAUCUGUCUAAACACAUAUAUAAAAAAGAAAAAAUGAAAAUGAAAAUGAAAAACAAAUAUCUUAAUACAUAAAAUAUUGAUGUGAAAAUGAAGAGAUGAUCAGAGCAUCAAAAAAAAAAAAGUUCAUUAAAUAUACAAAAUGCUCAUAACAAAUAGAUGAUGAAAAAGAAAUGAUCUAGAUCUAACAAUCAAAUUAUACAAAUGAUUUAGAUCUAAAUCAUUUGUACAAUUUGAUUUUUAGAUCUUACAACAACAACAAAACAAAGAAAUGAUAUCUUGAAAUUAUAGUGACUUAUGUCUAUAAACCCUUAGAAAAACUACCUUGACAACUCCACCUAGUAGCAACAUAGUUUCAAACUUUUGAAACAAAGGAGUAAAUCAGAUAUUGAACUUGAAACAGAUGAAUACUUUGAUCUAGAGAAGAAGGUAUCUUCUUGAAAUAGAAAAGUACUUUGAAACAAAAAAGAUGACCAAUAAAGCUUUGGGAAGUACUGGGAGUUGUAUUUUCACCAGACAAGCAAUUUUUUCUAUUCCUCAGACUCUUAAGGUGGAUGCAAAUAGUUCAAAGGUGGAGCCAAAUUUUAAUCAAAAUGGUAAUACAAUUGUUAAGGGAAAAUGGAAUUUAGAGCUAAUAGAACCUGAUUCUAGAAGUCCUUAUGCUACUAUCAGGAGAUAAGUGACACAUUCUCUAACAAGAAAGAAAGCUCCAACCAAAGUGAAAGCAAACAAAGUUAAAAGUGGGCCAUCAUCUAGUUGUAAAUGAAAACUUAAAGAAAAGAGCAUCUUCUCUUUUGAAGUAGGACUAUUUGGGGAAUUACACGAUGUUGUCAAUGGUGUUGCAAAGGUCCAUAAUUAAAUAAGGGUGGAAAAAAGAGUCACUACAACAAAUAUUGCUUUUUGCUACAAUUUUUUUUCCAUGAAAAAAAUUUUGUGGCAAAAUGUCACUUUUAGCAAUAAAUUUCGUUUUUGUCAUUUAAAAUAAGACUGGAAUAAUUCUUAUAGAAUAUUUGAUAUUUUACAAUGAACUCACCUUUUUGCCACAAAAUUAUUUAUGGUAAAAUAUUACUUGUUGCUACGAGGCUACUUUUGUUGCUAAAAACAUAAUGGGAAAAUUCAAAUUUUUGCCUCAAAAUUAUUUGUGGCAAAAUAUCACUUUUAGUCACAAUUUUACAUUUUGUCUUUAAAUCUAUGGUAAAAAUAAUUCUCAUAUAGAAUGUGAUAUUCUGCUACAAACUUUACUUUUUAGUAUGAAUGACUUACAAAUUUCAAUUUUUGUUCAAAUUUUUUUCCAUAAUCUAAUUUGUAGUAGAAAAAUAUCUUUUAUUUUAAUUAUGUAUGCAUCACUUUUUAUAUAAUAAAUUAAAUAUUAAAUAAAACUAUUAAAUAAUUAAUAUUUUAUAUUCAAUAAUUUCUAAAAAUGUUAUACAAAAUAGUCAUUUAUUAUAUAAAAAAAAGUUUUUAUUUUAUUAAAGCAUCAAAGGAUUUAAUGUUGAUAAAAAGUUGGAAAAAAUGGUCAUUUGAUAUUUUUAUGUGAGUUUAACAAUAAUAAUUUUGAAUAUAUAAAUGAAAUUUCUAAAAAUUUAAUAAAAGUAUAUAAAUUUUGAAGUCUAAAUUUUAUUUUAAAAUUUUCAUGGAAAAAAUAUUAAUUAAAAAUAUAAUGAAUCAAAUAAAAUAAGAUUAAGAAGAAAAAAAAGAUUCUUAGCCUUAACAUAAACAAUUUUUAUUUUAUUUUUUUAUUUACAUAAUUAUCAUAUAUAUAUAUAUACAUAUAUUUUAAUUCUAUCUUUGAAUAUUUUUUUAAGAAUAAUUAUGCAAAUAAAUAUUGAUAAUUUAUAAAGUUUGUUUUGAAAUCUUUAAUUUUCGUUUUCAAAUUUUUACUCGUUCAUUGAUAAAAGUACAAAAAAUAAUCAUAAUUUGAGAUUACUAUAAAGAUAGAAAUAAUGUUGAACCCGAUUAAAAGUUUAUUAUUUCCCUUUAAACAUUAAUUGAUUUAUAGAAGAUACGGUCAAAGUCUUUUCAAAGAAUAGUGAUAAAGCGAAGGGUCAUGAGUUCAAGUCCCAAUUAUAUUACAAUGUAAUAUAGUAAUUAUUAAGGGACUAAAAUGUCCUUUGCUAGGCUUGAGAUAGGUGUAUGGGUUUCAUCAUGUUUCUAGAAAUAAAUAAUCAUGCUCAAAAUCCCCACAAAAAAUGUAACUUUUUGCUAGAAACAUAAAUUUGUCGCAAAAGAUAUUAUAUUGCCACAAAAUAACAUUUUUCGUUAAAAGAGACCUUUUGCCACAAAAUUUUCCUUAAGAUAUAGAUUUUUAUUUUUAUUUUUUUGGCCAUGAAUAGUUUAUUUUUUGCCAUAAAUAUUAUUCUUUUAGUGACACAAAUAUUUAUUUGUUGGUAAAAAAUUUUAGUGACAGACUUGUUGCGACAAUCCUCCGACAAACGUUUUUUUGUGGCAAAAACAUAUUUAUCACAAAAAUCUAACUUUUUACCACAAAAACAUUUGUUGUAGUGAGUUUUCAAAUUUACUUCGAAUAAAUUUUAUAGUUGAAACUCUGGAAUUGCUUAAAUUCUUGAAUUACAUACAAACUAUAAUUUGGUAAUCCUUUACCUCCUUAUAGUGAUGGAUAUAGUUACCUAGUCGAUUGAAUAGACUUUUUUGCAUUCUUAUUCAGGAUCAUUGUUCAUUGAGCUUCGGAAAGAGAAUAUAGGUUGUUUUGGUUGUGGACAAUCUAUUUCACUGCUUAGUAUGAGAACUACAACAGACAUGGUAGGCCUGUCUACAACAUGAUCUUGAACGCACAAUAGGCUGACAUGUAUGAUUCUCAUUACUUUCAAUGAGAAAAUGAAUUAGCCUAACACUUGAUCAAUUAAAUCUAAUCCCCUACCUUUGGUCCAUAAUUGCCAUGCCUAAAGUUGUAUUUCAUUAUCAAUUAUGUACUUUGAAGGACCAAAUAGUUAAUAAAAACUACUAAAGUCUACUAAAGAGAAUUUUUCUAACUUUUAUUGUUAUAUUUGCAUGUUUAACAUACUUGCAGACCUAAGUUUUUUAAUAUGAAACUUAGCUUUACAGUGGAAGUAGAGGACAAAACACAAAAACUAGCAAUCUCAUGCGCUAUAGUCAAACAUUACCCCAAAAUUUCCAUCAACUUCUCGUCAACAACUUCAUGGUCCUCUAAUGUAUCUUGAUGCAUGGUAGCCAUAUCAGGUGACCUAUUUCAAACAACAAAUUAGAACUUGUAAAUUGAUUUCUAUACUUAUUUUUAUAUAUAAUACACACUUUCUUCCUUUGGUAUCAAUGCACUAAACCUACCAUAUAAUUCUAAUAUACUUUCUUUUCUAAGAUCAUAAAGGAACAAAAUAUAAUCCAAUAGAUUACAAAGCAUUCUUCAAAGUUAAAAAUUGUUUUUAGACCUUAGUAAGUAUGAAGUUCUGAGUUUUAAAAGCACAUCCUCCCCAAAUAGAGUUGUUUCCUUGGCCAUCUUCAACGACUCUUCACACAAUUUCUCCUAAAUACAUUCCUAAAAUAAGCUUUUAAAAAUUUUAAGAUAAAGGAAGAUUCAGAGAUAAAAUGUAACAAAUGCAAAUGUGUCAAAUGAGAAACACUUGGGAAAAUAAAGUUCCCAUACUUGACUACCUGGAUGUGAGAUUUCAACAUCUAAACAAGUGUCAAACUCGGUAAUUGGAAGAUGGUAAGAAUUGAAGUUUCCCCAGUCCAUGUUAAUAACCUACAAAAAUAAGCAUACAUAAACUAUUCUUUAAUUGACUAGGCAAACCAACACCCAAUGGUUAACUACCAUCUAAUAGAAUGUUGUUGACCUUCAAAUCUUGAUGAAUAGUCCUUAAACAAGAAUCACGAUAGAGAUAAAGAAGUCCUUUAGUAAUACCUUGAAUAAUGUUGAAGCGUUUAACCCAAUGAAGUUGCAAUCCUUUUGUUGGAUUUAGACAAUGCAACCAUAGGAAAAGAAAUAUUAUAAUCAAUACAAAAUGUUAAUUCUAGGUCUGACAUUUUCUUUUCAAAAUAUGCCUUUCAAUUAGUUUGAAAUUUAGAAAGAGUAUUACAUGUUCAGAAAUAUGUCCUUCCUUUCUAUAUUCAAGUUUAAAUAUAGGUAGAUUGUUGAAUUGUUGUAAUGUGUCUUGGUUGUUGAGAGUUCUUAUCAAUAGCCUAAGUGCAUCCCCAUGGUAGAGAACAUGCAGCUCCAAAUCAUAUUGAUAGAGCCUCAUUAGUAUUGGUAUAUGUCACAAUACUAAGAUAAAUGAAUUUCUAAAUGUGAUCCAAAUUUAGUAAGACAUAGUAGCUCUUAAUGAGAGUUAUCGAUCAAGACAAUAUAGGUUACUAAGUAGAAAAUACAAUGUAGAAGUGUGGGGUAAACCAACCAAACAAAAAUGUAUCCAAGCUCUUGUUGGGCAUGUAUUCAUAAAUCAACUUCUCUUCUCCUUCAAUACAACAACCUAAGAGCCUAACAAGAUUCCUAUGUUGGAGCUUGGAAAUUCAUACAUUUUCAUUCUUGAACUUUUCUAUUCCUCACUCUUAACUACUAGAAAGUCUUUUCACUACUAUUUCAUGUCCAUCUUGUAGCUUUUCCUAUACAUGGCCAGUAAAUUUAGUAAUAAAUACAUGCGUACUCAAGUCAUCUGCUCAAACAAGAAUAAAUUCACCUUAAAAAUAGGACUAAAUGCUCAUUUUCUAAGUUUGUUUGUUAGGCUCAAGUUGUUGGUUGAAACUAGUUUCAUCAAAGUAAUAUAAAGAAUUGAUUUAUUUUAAAUAAAGAGAAAAGUUAUUGGAUUUCAUCAAAGUAGUAUCAAAAGAAAGCAAAUUUAUCUAUGAGCAUUGCACUAAGCAAAGUGAAGCUUCUAAUUUCAAGAAUCAAUCAGAUAUAUGAAAUUCGAUUGUUGAUGGGUCUUGAUGUUACUGCUAAUGAUGAUGUGAGCUAAUAGAAAACCUAAACAUUGGUCGAAAUUGACAAUGAGCAGUGAAGGCUUUAGGGUUUUCGAUGCUCACCAUUGGUGUGAGUGUAAACAUAUGUUUUUGUGGAUGUGAAAUCAUUUGGAAGGAGUGGAAAUUUAGGCAUAUAUAUUGUUAUAGUUAUUUAUUUAGUAAUAUCUAGUACCUUUAUUUAGUUACUAUUUAAUUUUAUUUAGUUACUAUUUUUCUUUUUUAUUUAGUUACUAUAUUAGGAUUAUUAUAUUUAGAAUUAUUCUCUUUCUUUUUUAGGUUUUACUAGGUCUAUUUAAAUCAUAAUAGUGUUCUAUAUUUUUUUCAAAAUAAUUCAAAAGGAGAAAUCCUAGAUUUUCUUUUCUCUAUUUUUUUCUUUGAUUUUUUAUUUCAUUUUUAUUUCAACAUGGUAUCAAAGUAAGAUUGAUCUUUUAAUGAGACCUUUUUAUUUGUAUUUUUUUUUUUCAUGAAAUUUGUUUUUAUCAUGUUUGAUUGUGGGAUAUCGUAGUAGUAGGUGGUUAUUGCAUCGUUCAAUUUGCAUCUACUUUAUUUUGUUUGUUGUUUAUUUGUUAUUCAUUCACCAUGGCUAGUGAACGAGAUGAUUCCUUUCCAUCUAUUAGUGUGAGAUUGGAUAGAAAAAAAAUUAUCUUAUUGAAGUUAUGUGAUGAAAAGUUUUCUAAAAGGCAAAAAGAUGCGGGGUUAUAUUAUUGACACUCUACACAAACCUAUGAAUGAAAACGAUGAAAAAUAUGCAGAACAGUUAGAUGUUUGGGAAGUAAGCAAUUCUAAAAUUACUACUUAGAUUAACAACUCUAUUGAAACUUCGAUAGGUAUGCAGUCGACAAAAUAUGAAAUUGUUAAGGAAAUUUGGAACAUUUGGAAAGAUUGUAUAAACAAUCCAAUUUUGAAAAAAAAUAUUAGUUAAAGAUUGAUAUUUAAGCCCUUGAACAAAAAGAAAAGAGUAUUUAGGAGUUUUAUUUCACGAUGACUAAUUUCUAAGACCAAUUGGCUCUCACAAAAUCAAUAGAGCUUCGAGCCUUUGCACCUUAUAUUUCCCGUAGUGAGAAACAAUGUCUCAUUCAAAUUUUUAUGGCCUUUCAUAGUAAUUUUGAAGCAUUGUGUGGGACAAUUGUGUAUCGCAACCCAUUUCUCUCUCUUGAAUAAGUGGUUAGUGAAUUUUUGGUUGAGAAGAUAUGUCUUAAGUUUCAAGCAAGAAAAUGUAUUCUCUCUACAUCUCAUACAUUUGUUUUGACAAUCCCUUCUAGGCCACCUUCUAACAAUUAGAACAAGCCUUAUUCAAGGGUUGCUAUAGAUGAAUGUAGCUACUAUAAACAAAAGGGUUACUGGAAGGCUUAAUGUCCGAUGAUGCUUCUAAGAAUAGUGCAACACCUACCUUCUCAAUAGUGUCAUUAAAGUUAGUUCAAUACUAGCUAAUAACAUUUUUAUAUGCCUCCACGGUCUAAUACCAUAGCAGUUGUUCCUCUAUUUGACUUGUUUGGAUCUAGACCCACAUUAUCCUCUAAUCCCACAAUAGCUUUCUUUGUUGAACAUUUCCAAAAGCUCCUCGCCACAUAACUACAACUAUAUCUGCCUCUUUAGGUUUGCUAGCCACUAAUUCUUCAAGUAUGUCUUCCUCUAUAUGGGUCUUAAACUUUGAAGCUUCUCACCAUGUCUCUUAAUUCCUUAUCUUUUGCUUCUUUAUAUCCUACAUCUUUUAUGUCUGUCAUGACUGCUGAUGACACUCCUUUACCCUUAACUAGUAUUAGUUCUGUUAUUACAACUUAUUUGUCUCUUUCUCAUGUCUAUCAUAUUCCUAAUCUUACAUUGAAUCUUGUCUCUAUUGCUAAAUUAUGUGACUUGGGUUACUUAGUUUCUUUUUCUACUUCUUGUUUUAUGCAGGAUCCUCAAUCUCAAAAGCUAAUUGGGACAAGUUGUAGGAGAUGGGGGUUUAUAUAUUUUAGAUGAGCUAAAAUUCCCAAUAGUUAUCGUUCCUAGUCUUGAUUUGUUUUUAUUUUUAUUUUUAUUUUUAGUCCUUCUUCAUCUAGUUUUUAUUUGUGACAUUCUCAUUUAGGUCAUGUUUCGACUUUUGAUUUAAAGUAUUUAGUUUCCAUAAGAGCAUUAGGAAAUUUUCAAAUACAAGAUAUUGUUGAUUCCAGUGGUUGUAAAUUGGCAAAUUUUAUGCCUUACCUUUUAAUAAAAGUGUUUCCUCUUCUCUUGCCCUAUUUGAUUUAGUUCAUUCUAAUGUGUGGAGACCUUAUCUAAUUUCUACAAAAGAAGGGCCUUAAUAUUAUGUUUCCUUCAUUGAUGAUUAUACUCAUUAUUGUUGGGUUUAUCUUACGAAAUAUCAUUUUGAUUUUUUGAAUAUUUAUAAAGUAUUUCAAGCUUAUGUCAAAACUCAACAUUCUAAAACUUAACAUUCUAUUGUUAUUAAGUGCUUUAGGUGUGAUUUUGGUGUGAAAUAUACUUCCAAUGCAUUUUGUGAAUUACUUGCUUCGCAUGGUCCCCUCUCCUAGUGUUUCUCAUAACCUUGGAGAAAUUUAUAGGCUCAAUAAAACUUUAUAUGGUCUCAAACAAGCACCUUAUGCUUGGUUUACGAAGUUUUCUGAUGUGAUUACUUUUCUUAGGUUUCACUCUAGUCAUCACAAUCCUAUGCUUUUUCUAAAGUGCGCCUCUUCUGGUUGUAUUCUUCUUUCUCUAUAUGUUAAUGACAUGAUUAUUAUGGGUGAUGAUAUUGAUAAGAUUGUAGUGUUAAAAUUUGAUUUGGCUUCCCAUUUUGAAAUGAAGGGUUUAGGUGCUCUAUGGUCAUUUUUGGGUAUUGAGGUAGCCUCUUCUUUGAAAGGUUAUCUUCUCUCACGGUCUAAGUACAUAGUUGAUAUACUCAAUUGAGCUCACCUUAUUAAUACUAAGACUAUCAAUACUCUUCUUGAGGUUAAUAUUAGGUAUUCUUCUUUUGAUGGUAACCCCUUACCAGACCCUACUUUAUAUCAUACUAUUGUUGGUAGCUUGGUCUAUCUCACUAUUAUAUAUUCAAAUAUUGCUUAUGUUGUUCACAUUGUUAUUCAAUUUGUUGUUUUUCCUACUAUAGUUCAUUGGGUUGUUGUUCUUCGUAUUCUACAAUAUCUUUAAGGUACUAUAUUUCAAAGUCUUUUAUUUCCAUCCACUUUCUCUUUAGAGGUAGGUGCCUAUUUUGAUGUUGAUUGGACCAAUGAUCCUAAAGAUCGCAAGUCUACCAUUGGAUUUUGUUUAUUUUUGGGAGAUUAUCUUAUUUCUUAGAAAGCAAGAAAAAAACCAUUGUUUUUUUAUCUUCCAUAAAAGCUAAGUAUCGUGUUAUGACGUCUACCACUAGUAAGAUAGUUUGGUUACAUUGGUUACUUGUUGAUAUGGGUGUUUUCCUUUCUUGUCCCAUUCUGAUCUAUCGUGACAACAAGAAUGCUAUUUAGAUUUCUCACAACUCCCUUUUUCAUGUAAAGACCAAUCAUAUUGAGAUUGAUUCUCACUUCAUUCGUCAUCACCUUCAUCAUAACACUCUUACUUUGUUCUUUGUCCCUUCUUCUCUAUUUGUUUACCAAGUUACACUCGCUUUCUUGUUUUCGGUUUUUAGUUAGCAAACUCUCAAUGCUUCGUGUAGCCACAUCAUGAGUUUGUGGAGGGGGAAGGGUGUUAGAAUUUUUUAUUUAGUAAUAUCUAGUAACUUUUAUUAGUUACUAUUUAGUUUUAUUUAGUUACUAUUUUUCUUUCUUAUUUAAUUACUAUAUUAGAAUUAUUGUAUUUAGAGUUAUUUUUAUUUUUAUUUUUGGUUUUAUUAGGUUUAUUUAAAUCCUAUAGUGUUGUAUCUUUUUUUCAAGAGAAUUCAAGGAGAAAUCCUAGAUUUUUUUUUAAAUCUUUAUUAUUUUUUUAUUAUUUUAUUUUAUGGAUUUUAACAUAUAUAUCAUGUAAGAAGUGACACUUUUCAAAAGCAUCAAGGAUGCUUAAAAAUACAUGUAACAAUGAUGCUUAAAAAGAAGUGCUAAUGUUUCCAAACCCAUGUCGUUCAAUGAUGAUUUUAAAAGUUCCAUAGUAAACAAGCACCUAUGUUUGAUCACAUUAAACUAAAUCAUGACACUCUUUUGAAAGCACCAAGGAAGUGAGAUGAUUAGAGCCAAAAUAUGUGCUCUAAUGACACAUAUUUGAUAUGAUUUGUGCACCAAAGGACAGUCAAAUCACCUAACUUGACCUAAAUCGAUGGUAAGGUUCUAUCCAUGAGUUUAACUUGUAUUUUAGAGAUUUAUCUUAGGUUCAAGGGAAGAAAAGGGUGCAAGUUGAAUCACUUUAGAUUUUGAAAGAUCAAAAAAGGGUUAAAUGAGGAAAUAAGCGAAUCAAGACUCAUGGACUAUGAAGAAAGGCAAGACAAGGAUAUCAUGAGUUUAAAAGAUGAGAAAUGACCAUUAUGGAGUAAGAAAGAAGGCGAGAAGACUUGGAAAAUGAGGCAUGAAGCAAGAUUCAACUACAUGGAAAUUUAUAACUCAAAAUCUGGUGGCAACAUAUACUCUGAUUUUGAGGAAAAAUUUGGAGCAUUUUACAGAGUCCAUUUUAGAUAUAAUACAUAUUUUUUCGGAGCUUGGGAAGUUAAAAGUCCAAUGCUUCAAACGAUAUGCAAAUCAUAGUUGAAAUGAAGAAGUUAUGGCCAUUUGCAGACAACUGUGUAAAGUUGAAGGACCAUUUCUAAAUUCAACUUAUGAAUUCAAAAUCCAACUUAUGAAUUCAAAAUCCAAUUAGAAAUGACCCCAAUUUCGAAUUCACCCAUUGCCACUUUGAUGUUUUGCCUCCUCUACCUAAGAAAUUGCAUAUAAGGCACUCAAUCCGCCCUAAGUGGACUCCAUAUAACUAGAAAUCACCAUUUUAUUAUUUUUAAAUCAUUUUUAGGUAAUUAUUUUGUAAUUAGUAGCCAAUGAGAGUGUGUUACAUGUUAGGUAAUUGAUGAUAUUAUAUAAACUCAAUUAGUUCUAGGGUUUAGAUAUCUUGGAUUUUUUUCCGGAGAGUUUGACAUUGGAGAUGGAAGAAGAUGAGAACUUUGAUUUGUUUUCUUUUCUUCUUUAUUAAAUAUAUUGUUUUUAGUUUCUUUUGAUUCAAAUUAUGGAUUUUUAGCCUAUUAAGGAUUGUGAAUGUGACAUCACCUCCAUGAGAGGCUAAGAAUCCAACUUUGAGCUUGAAGCAUGAAACCUAAGGGCUAGGAAACAUAUAGGGACAAUGGGUAAAUUAUUAUAAUAAUGAGAUUAAUUAUUGGUUGGGUGACAAUUUAUCAAAAAAAAUUUCCUAUCCUUGUGAGUUAGUUUAGGGAAUGAUAUGGUAGGUUAUUACCCGAUACUAGUGAUUCUUGGUAACUCUUGAUCAUCAAUUAUCCUUGCUUACCUUAUCGUUAUUUGCCCCAAAAUAAAGCUAUAAGGAGUAGGAAGUGUUAAAAAAGCCAAAUCUUAAAUUGGUAAUCAAUUUCAUUCAUUUGAUGGUUUUAGGAAUCUAUUUUAAAAAGGAAAAAUUAGGCUUUAAAUGCAAUUUUGAGUUACAAAAUUCAAGUUGAUCGCGAACGGCCAAGGAUCCCAAAACCUGAAGAUCAUAUUACUUAAGAGGCCACUGUUUUCUAUAAUUUCUAUACCUUAAGUUGGAUUGUGGAAAGCCCCAAACUUCAAUCAAUCGAAUUUAAAAUCAAUAUUCAUUAUGUUAUUAAUUUAAUUUCUUUUACUUAGUUUCACAUUAUUCACAUAUCAUUUUCCACUUUAGGAUUCAAACAAAAGCAAUUCAUUUAUCCUAUUAUUGACAAAUCCCAUAAGCCAGUCUUUGAGGAUGAUACCCGAAAUACUACAAAAGCCAUAAUAGCUUCUUUUUUUUUUUUAAUCUUUCUUGGUCAAGGAUACUACAUAUUAGGAUUAAGUAUUUUGGUACAAUAGAGAAGUUCGGUCAUAAGUGUCAUUAUUUUCACUUUUUGUAGUAGUGCAUAUUGUUCCUUGUUGUAAAAGAAUGCAAAGAUUUGUUGCAAUGAUGAUUGCUAAAAGGCUUUCCACAUUUGUUGCAGAAAUAUGACAUCCGACAUCAUAGAUCUUCUACAUACAUGCCACAAACUAAUGGAAUAGUAGAGGCCGCAAAUUAGAACAUUAAGAAGAUUUUGAGAAAGAUGGUUGAAACCUCUCGAGAUUGGUCAGAGAAACUCCUUUUUGCAUUGUGGGCAUAUCGUACAUCUUUUCACACCUCUACAGGAGCUACACCUUACUCUCUAGUAUAUGAUAUGGAGGCUAUUUUGCCAGUCGAGAUAGAGAUGGGUUCAUUGAGAGUAGCUCUCAACUAGCAGAUUUCUAAGACAGAGUGAGCUCAGGCUUGAUUUGAUUAGCUUAACCUUUUAGAUGAGAGGAGAUUGAGAGAAGCGGAUCAUAUCCAAGCUUAUUAGAGAAAGAUGGCUCAUGCUUUCAGGAAACAGGUUAAGCUUAGACCAUUCCAGAAAGGGGAUUUGGUUUUGAGGAUUCUUAGAGGUUUGGUUGGAGACCCUAGAGAAAAGUUCAGACCUAGUUGGAGUGGACCUUAUGUUGUUCGAGAGUUGACUCCAGAAAGGGCUGCAUGGUUGACUGACUUAGAUGCAAACCAGUUUUCAGACCUACCAAUGUGGGUCAGCUAAAGAAGUAUUACGUUUGAGAUUAUGGUCGCAAGAUGGGUGGCUAUCAUUUCGAUUAGCCUUACACUUUAUCACCUUUAUUGAUGUAUUAGACCAUUGCUAGCCCAUUGAGCCUCACGUGGUAUUGAUUCGUGCCCAGCUAGUGUAUGUCCUGUUGAUUGGUGUUCAAUCAACUAGUGUACCUUGAUUUCGGUCCUCAGACAGGAGUAAUCAACAAAAUUUAUAAACCUAUUUCACCAUGUACGAGGAUAGCCUCAGCUAGCAUAGCAUAGUGGCUCUAAGAUCGUUCACUGGGAUGAGUUUUCAAAUUACAACUGAUAUUAAUUCAAAGCUGAAUUGGUGCUUUUUCAUUUCAAGGUUAGCUUUAAAAGAAAACAUAAAAAUGUUUGAAAAGGUUGGUUUUUAAGUGAAACCAAUAAUAAAGUAAUGAAAAUUACUUACAAAGAAAAGUGUUUCUUGGAGUUUUUAGAUCACUGGGCUCAGGUUCCUAAUGCAAAAAGAGAGUUCCGGUCACUUGAAUCUUUUCCUCGCAUUGGGGAUUUAACAUAUAGUUAUUUCCCGAACCGAUGUGGUACAAAUGCUUCCCUUUUAUGGAUUCAAACACUAAUUCCCUGUCACUAAAUCAUCUUGCAAUGGUUCAUACCUCUCACUUAGUAUUGGCCAUUCAAGGUGAUUCUUAACCUUGGAUUACCCGUCAAAAGCUCGGAAGAGAUAACUAAUGGAUGUCUCCUUGGAGUUCAAAAGCUUACCAAGUGUUGGCUAUUUGAGAAAAUCCUACCUUUAAACCACCUCCCAAAGGCUCGCAAGAGAUAAACUAGUGUAUCUCAAUGGACGGAGACCACUUGCCUUACCAAGUGUUGGCCCAGGUGAUUUUAAGGCGUUUUAAGUUAACUAAAAACAUAAAAACCAUUAACGGGUCACACUUUCUCUUCAUUAAAAGCUGAAACAACAAAACUUCCAAUUUUUUUGCAUUCGGAGCCUUACCCAGCUUCCUUCACUCCAAGAAACAAAAAGCCUAGCCACUCAUUCUCUGAGGAAACAUUCUCAGAGCUUGUUUGGCUAGUGAGAAAAAUACAAUCAAAAUGAGUAGGUAAGGCAGAGCCAAGCUCUAUGUAUUACUUUCUUCAAAACUAUACAAAAAGUUGGUCUUUGAGAACAAACACCUAAGAUAUCCUUUAAGAAAAAUUACAAUUGAUAUAUAUAUAGGUUAUUCACCCUUCUUUCUUACUUUCUAACUGAGAAAUCCUAUUAUUGGUGGAUUAUAAGGAGCAAAUAAGGAUUUAAACAAUAAAUAUCUGAAGAAAAAAUCUAAAAGAGUCGGUCGCAAAUAUCUGGGAGCACACAGAUGGAUUUCGCAAGUUGGAACAUGAAUUGAGAAAAUUUCGCAAGCUGAAAGUGUCCAUUUCAUAAGAAAAGGUUGAUUUCGCAAGUUGAAUUUCGUGAUUUCACAGCUUGCGAAAUUGUCUUUCAGCUUGGUGCAAUUGUCUUCCAAUGGCCAUAACUUCUUCAUUUCAACUUUGAUUUGCACACCGUUUGAAGUGUUGGACUCCUAACUUACCGAGCUUCGAAACAACAUAUGGUAUACAUAAAAUGGACUCUAGGAAGUGAUCAAAAUAUGCCCUACAGCUGCUGUCCUCUUGGAUUUCUUCAUUUUAGAUUCCUCUCUCUGUUUUUCCUCCUUGCAUUCUUGAUUUGCUUUUGGAAAAGGACUAAAAAGCUCCAAAGCUUGGAUUAUUCAUGUAAAUGAGAUUCUAUUUUCUUUGCCAUGGAUUAUGCAGAACUCUCCCUCAACUUAGGUUGCUUUAGUGAUCAACAAGCUAUCAAAAACACCAAAACUUAACACAAUUUGAUUAGAAACAAUUGUAAGGGUCCUUAACAUGCCAAUUGAGUUAAAAGGUAAUAACUACUACUCAAAAGUGUUUACAAGAGUUAAUUACAAGCUAUAAAAUAACACUUUUUGAGUAGUAAUCAGGUAUGCUAUAGCCUUUUCUUUUCUAUUGCCUUACUUAUCAUUUCUACACCCAGGUUGGGGCCCUUUAAUGUAUAGUUUUGCUUUGCUAGCAAAGUCUCAUGAGCUUUGGACUUAUAGGCUUAUCUUUCUCAUUCUUGCUAUUAUCGCCUCAUCACUCUGUCUACUACAUUCUAUUAUUUUCACAUUUUUCAUCUCUAUCUUGGUUUUCGUUAUUGGUCGCUACACUUCAUAUUUUCUUCACUUGGAAUGUUGAUUCUUCACAUAUUGAUGCAUAGAGUGUAGUCAUAUCACCCCUUUCAUUCCAUCAUUUGACAUUGAUUCAAAGAUUUUAGUUUGAGAGGUUGUUUCAUGAGAUGGGGUUCAUGUAUUCAUUAGUGAUUUGAGAGAUACAUUCGUUCCUUGUAGUUUCUCAUUGGAGUAUGAUUCAUUGAUGACGAGGGCAUACGUAUAAAAAAAAAAAAAAAGUGAUAUGUUUGUACUUGAUAUCCCACUCAAUUGAGCAUGUGUUUCUAUUUGAGCGUUGUUUAUUUGGUUUAUCAUUGAGGGUUUGUGCAAGUUUUCCAUGAGGACGUUUUUGCUCCUUGAGCCACUUUUAUUAUGCAGUUAGAGGGAUGAAAGUUUUUCUUGAGAGUCUUGAGUUUUGUGAGAUCCUUGUCCCUUAGAUCAAAGUUAUACUUUAUAGGUAUGAUAGUUGAGUAACUUUUUCACUAAGAUCUCUGAAUCAAUGUUUUCUUUACUACUCCAUUAUAGGUGAUAUGACUUACCUUUUAUUGUAUUGACAUGUGUUACUCAUCAUUCCUUUUUUACUUUCUCACUACUUUCAUUUGAUUUUCCAUCAUUUCUUUCUUACUAUUUAUCCCAUUUUUGUCCCAUUCCGACACCUAUGCACCUUCCCGAUUCGACACCUUUCUUCAUGAUCCACUGAUGGCUUGAUCACUUCUCUCCCUUUCUCAUUUCACCAUCGACAUUCCCAUGGACUCCUCUUAAGUUCCAUGGCUCAUGAGAUUUUUUCUAUGCAUUACGCUAUAUAUGAGGGUAUGGAUUUGAUCAUUAGGUAUUUGAGCCUAGUUUCCCUUCAUUUCUUUCUCCCUAUCACACUGACCUACGUUACGUAUUGCGUCUUAAAACCACCCUAAGGCAAUGAUAUCAGACGUUAUCUUUAACAGUUUUCACUUGGAUGGGCUUUUGUAGAUUGGUUGAAGUAUAGUCGUUAUUAUGCUUUCUCUUAUGGGAAAUACUUUUGGAAACAUUUAGUUUCUCUCUCUUGCUUAGCAUAUCGAUGUUUGAUGGAUUUUUGAGUUUGGAGAGAGUCCAUUGAUGAUAUCGGAGUCAUCAUUUUGUUGUGCAUCAGAUAUCUAUACUGAGGCAUAUUUCCCCUUUACUCUGACAUCCUUAGUCGUGGCUGGGUUAUGUGGUUAUCCUUGAUCUUGAUUAUUAAGAUGUUUGAUUAAUGUUAACGGAUGAUUGAUUGACGUUAACAGAUGUUUAGUUGGCAAUGUCAUACUGGGGCAUAUUCCCCCUCUCAUCAAUGAGGUUUGAUUAGGCAUAGUAGGAGAAUGGAUGAUAGGAGUUGGCUAUUUACCUCGUGACUUUGACAUCAGAUCUUGUACUGGGUCAUAUUUCCCCAUUUGCUUUAAGUAUUUUUGGGAUUGAGGUAGCUGCCAACUUGAUUUUAAUUGAGCAUCAGUCUGGGACUUCCGAUGACUUAUGAUAUCAGGACCUUCCUACACGGUCUGGUUGUGAUAGAGAUGGAUCGCAUCAAGUUUCACCUGAGGAGCAUUGAUAGGUUCUUUUGUCGGGUGUUUAUGUGAUAGUUUGUCUCCAUCAUAUUUACAUUGCAUAUCGGGUUAUCCGAAUGAGGAGUAUCUUGUGCACUUUUAGAUUUGUUUUUAGAUGGGUUGUGAUGUACACACUUCGAGAUUCAGUUUAUGAAAUUUUUUGACAUAUCAUCUCUCACGACCUAGAGUCGUUUUUUCUCAUUUAUGACCUAGAGUCAUUUUUUUCCAUUUAAGACCCAAAACUCACGACGUAGAGUCAGUUUUUCUCAUUUAUGACCUUAAGUCAUUUCUUUUCCAUUUAGAACCCAAACCUCAUGACCUAGAGUCAUUUCUUUUCAAUUUAGAGCCCAAAGCUCGUGACCUAGAGUCGUUUUUCUCAUUUAUGAACCACAAUCAUUUUUUCCAUUUAAAACCCGGAGCUCAGGACCUAAAAUCAUUUUCCUCAUUUUCCAUUUAGAGCCCAAAGCUCACGGCCUAGAGUCUUUUUUCUCAUUUAUGACCUAGAGUCAUUUCUUUUCUAUUUAGAACCAAGAAGGCAUGAGCCAAAGUCAUUUCUAUUCCAUUUAGAUCCCAGAGCUCACGACAUGGAGUCGUUUUUCUCAUUUAUGACCCAAAGUCAUUUUUUCCAUUUAGAGCCUAGAUUUCACAACCUAGAGUCGUUUUGUUCUCAUUUAUGACCCAGAGACAUUUCUUUUCCAUUUAGAGCCUAGAGCUCACGACCUAAAGUCGUUUUUCUCAUUUAUGACCCAAAGUCAUUUCUUUUCCAUUUAGAGCCCAGAGCUCACGACCCAGAGUCACUUUCUCUCAUUUAUGACCUAGAGUCAUUUAUUUUCCAUUUAGAGCCUAGAGCUCACGACCCAAAGUCAUUUUUCUCAUUUAUGACCUAGAGUCAUUUCUUUUCCAUUUAGAGCCUAGAGCUCACAACCUAGAGUCGUUUUUCUCAUUUGUGACCCAAAGUCAUUGCUUUUCUAUUUAGAGCCCAAAGCUCACGACCCAAAGUCUUUUUUCUCAUUUAUGAACUAGAGUCAUUUCUUUUCCAUUUAUAGCCCAAAGGUCACGACCCAGAGUCGUUUUUCCUCAUUUAUGACCUAGAGUCAUUACUUUUCCAUUUAGAGCCCAAAGCUCGCGACCUAGAGUCAUUUUUCUCAUUUAUGACCCAGAGUCAUUUCUUUUCCAUUUAGACCCCAAAGCUCACAACUGAGAGUUGUUUUUGCCAUUUAUGACCCAGACUCAUUUCUUUGCCAUUUAGAGCCCAAAGCUCAUGACCUAGAGUCAUUUUUCUCAUUUAUGACCCAGAUUCAUUUCUUUUCCAUUUGGAGGCCAAAGCUCACGACCUAGAGUCAUUUUUCUCAUUUAUGACCUAGAGUCAUUUUUUUCCAUUUAGAGCCUGCUCACGACCCAAAGUCGUUUUUGCUCAUUUAUGAUGCAGAGUAAUUUCUUUUCCAUUUAGAGCCCAGAGCUCAUGACUUUGAGUCCUUUUUUCUCAUUUACGAUCUAGAGUCAUUUAUUUUCAGUUUAGAGCCCAAAGGGCACGACCCAGAUUCGUUUUUCUCAUUUAUGACCCAAAGUCAUUUUUGUUCCAUUUAAAGCCCAAAGCUCACGACCUAAGGUCAUGUUUCUCAUUUAUGACCCAAAGUCAUUUUUUCCAUUUAGAGCUUAGAGCUCACAAUCUAAAGUCAUUUUUUCUCAUUUAUGACCCUAGAGACAUUUCUUUUGCAUUUAGAGCCAAAGCUCACGACCCAAAAUCGUUUUUCUCAUUUAUGACCUAGAGUCAUUUCUUUUCCAUUUAGAGCCCAAAGCUCACAACCCAGAGUCAUUUAUUUUCCAUUUAGAGCACAGACCUCAUUACCUAGAGUCGUUUUUCUCAUUUAUUACCUAGAGAUAUUUCUUUUCCAUUUAGAGCCCAAAGCUCAUGACCCAGAGUUGUUUUUCCCUUUUAUGACCUAGAGUCAUUUCUUUUCCAUUUAGAGGCCAGAGCUAACGACCUAGAGUCAUUUUUCUCAUUUAUGACACAAAGUCAUUGCGCUUCCAUUUAGAGCCUAGAGCUCAUGACCCAUAGUCUUUUUUCUCAUUUAUGACCUAAAGUCAUUUCUUUGCCAUUUAGAGCCCGGAGCUCACAAUCCAAAGUCGUUUUUCUCAUUUAUGACCCUGAGUCAUUUCUUUUCCAUUUUGAACCCGAAGCUCACGACCUAGAUUCGUUUUUCUCAUUUUUGACCCAAAGUCAUUUCUUUUUCAUUUAGAGCCCUAAGCUCAUGACCUAGAGUCGUUUUUCUCAUUUAUAACCCAGAAUCAUUUUUUUCCAUUUGGUGCCUAAAGCUCAUGACCCAAAGUCGUUUUUCUCAUUUAUGACCCAAAGUCCUUUUUUUCCAUUUGGAACCCAAAGCUCACGACUUGGAGUCGUUUUUCUCAUUUAUGACCUAGAGUUAUUUUUUUUUUCCAUUUAGAGCCCUGAGCUCACAACCGAGAGUCGUUUUUCUCAUUUAUGACCUAGAGUCAUUUUUUCCAUUUAUAGCCUAGAGCUAACGACCUAGAGUUGUUUUUUCUCAUUUAUGACCUAGAGUUGUUUUUUCUCAUUUAUGACCUAGAGUUGUUUUUUCCAUUUGGAGCCAAGAGCUCAUGACCUAGAGUCGUUUUUCUCAUUUAUGACUCAGAGUCAUUUCUUUUCCAUUUAGAGCCCAGAGCUCAUGACCUAGAAUCGUUUUUCUCAUUUAUGAUCCGGAGUCUUUUCUUUUCCAUUUAGAGCCUAGACCUCACAACCUAGAGUCGUUUUUCUCAUUUAUGACCCAGAGUCAUUUCUUUUCCAUUUCAAAGCUCACGACCUAGAGUUGUUUUUCUCACAUAUGACUUGGAGUCGUUCUUUCCAUGUAGAGCCUUAAGCUCACGACAUAGAGUUGUUCCAUUCUUGUAAUUGUGACCCCGUGUUACAAGCUUACUCUUGUCAUGUGCUAGGACAAAAUCUCUAGUCCUUUUCUUUUAGUUCUUCGGUAUAGUUCACUUCAUUCUACUCAUUAUUCAUAUUUUUACUCACAUUCCCUAUACUUGUGUUCUCUACCAAAGAGGGGUAUAUUUGUAGACCCUCUAUUUUGUCCUACUAGCACAUGUCCUAUUAUGUGUUCGUUUGAUACUUUAUAGCAAUUCUCUUGUGGCCUAUUACUACUUGUGUAGCCUAUCUUUUCUAAGUCACCUUGGGGACUUUAGUUAAGGGAUUUAUCUAACUCCAUUGUGACUCUUGACAACCCUAAUUUAGACCUAGGCCCAUUUAGGCACCCUCGGUUCAUUUAGGUACACUUGGCCCAUUAGGCACCACCUCAGACCCACUUAGGCCCUCUAGGCUCAUUUAGAUACACUUCGCCCAUUAGGCACCACUUAAGCCCACUUAGGCCCAUUUAGGUACACUUAGCCCACUAGGCACCACCUUAGGCCCACUUAGGCACCCUAGGCCCAUUUAGGUACACUUGGCCCAUUAGGUACCACCUUAGGCCCAUUUAGGUAUACUUGGCCCAUUAGGCACCACCUUAGGCCCACUUAGGCAUUCUAGGCCCAUUUAGGUACACUUGGCCCAUUAGGCACCACCUUAGGCCCACUUAGGCACUCUAGGCCCAUUUAGAUACACUUGACCCAUUUUGGCUCGCCUUGGCCCACUUAGGUUUACCUAGUUUUGCUUAGGUCACCUCUCAAGUAGGGUUGCAUGGCUUGUAUGACUAGCACGUGCUUGAUUUUUGUUUUAUUUUAUUUUAUUUUAUUUAUUUAUUUUUAUUUUUUUAUUUUUUUAUUAUUACAUGCAUUUAAUAAUUAUAUUUAUUUUGUUUACUUUUCUUUUAUUUAUUUAAUUAUUUAAUAGAAAAUUGUUUAAAUUGCUUUGACUUUAAAUAAGUAUUGGUUGCCUUAUUAAAUCAUCGAAUUACGUAAUUUAGUUUUUCUUUUUUUUCUUUUUCUUUUCUUUUUAAUCUUCUUUUAUUUUAUUUAUCAAUCUCAUGAUUUUCAUCAGUUUUUUUAUUAUUUUGUUUUGCACGAGGAAACGAUUACAUAUUUGGGAAUGGGGAAUCAAGGUCAGAUUUUUUUAAGGAAAAAAAAGGUCAAUGGGCUAUAUAUAUUUUUUUUGGAAUGAAAAAUCAGGAUGGGAAGAAGAGUGUCUUUUAAAGGCAUCUACUGAUUUGGGAAAGCUGGAGGAAAUCGACAAGGAAGGUCCACAUGCAACCACCAUUGGAAAGUGAUGCGGGAGGACUUAAAAAUGGAUAGCACAUAUUCACCAUGAGGGUAGAGGUUGAUUCAGUUGCACAUGGAAGAGGGAUCUCCAGCGUUCUGGUGAAUGAAUCAAGCCGGUUUUUGGGAAAAGUAUAAGGGACAUUUGGGAGAACAUCAUGCACAUGAAUGAAGGGAAUAGUGAGCGUUACAUGAAAAAGAAGACUUACCAUUCCAAAGAGGGGAUCAACGGAUGGAGGGAUAAAACAGGAAGAUGAAGCAAAUAAUAAGAAAAGAAAAAAUUUUUUGGAGCAGGUGAAGUGGGUUCGAAUUCGGCCGCACCAUUAGAAGAGGGAAAGGUAGCAGGUUAGCGAGUUUUCUUUGGGGAGGGGAGCACUUUCAGAGAGGACGUUGCGUUCUCAAAUAGUGAACUCUUGAAGCCGACUUUUAUCUUUGGGCUUCGGCUAUGGGUCGUGAUAGGAACCUUCGUCGGAGCCGUCAUUGUGAUUAUUUUUUUCCCGCUGUCCCUCUAUAUCACUUCUCGUCGUCGGCAAUCUCCUAGUUCGGGCAAGCUUGGUGCAGGCGAGUUUACACUAGUGGUGUCAAAGGAGAUUCAAGGACCAUUCAUGAAGCUGCUCCUGACCACAAACUGGUGCUGUCUCCAAUCCCGGAGAUCCAGAUCGACAUUGGAAAAUCAAAGCACUGCGUGGUGUUCUUUGAUGGGCUAUCAUUGCGGGCGAGCGCGGAGAGUCGGGCGACGAGCGUGACUGAAACAGCAUCAUUGGAGGUAAGCCAUCGGAGGUGUCACGCCUCGGGAGAGUACGGUAGUAUACGUUGAGAGAGCUUGAAGCGGCGACGAACAAUUUGGCUGAUGAAAACCUGAUAAGGGAAGGAGGUUAUGGUAUUAUGUAUAGAGGUGUGCUGGCUGAUAACACGAGAGUGGUUGUGAAGAACUCGUUGAAUAACAGAGACAACACACUAUCAAAAGGGGAUUUUUCUCCACUAACGUGCAUUGCUUUAGGGAUUGUGCAAGCAUCUAUAGCCAUCAUACCAUACAUCUUGAACCCAUUAUUGAAAAGCCUACUAGCACUUUUGGUGGAAAGUGACUCACGCGUUUUUUAAAAAGGUAAAUUAAUUCUUUCUAUUUCAGUUUUGAUUCAUGAAUAUCCAGUCCAAUUCAUAAUUGUUUUAGAAUUUUAGUUAUUUAAUUUAAUUAUUUCCAAUAGCAAUAUAUUGAUGUUGUCAAUUUGUUAAAUUUAGUUUUAAAUUAUUCCCAUUUAGCCUAUGUAUUUUAAAUUUUUAUUUUAUUUAUUUAUUUUUCUAGUUUAAUUAAUUUUAUGUGGUUAUAUGCAUGUUUGCAAGUCACUAAAUUUAGUUCUGAUUGAUUCUGUUUAGCUUAAAAGUUUUGAGGUUUUUUAGUUGUUAAUUUUGAAUACCUAGGUCAAUGUGUGCAUUUCAUAAAAUCAUUUACUAUUAACUUUGAGUAUCCAUAUUAAUUUAUAUUGCUCCUUAAAUUAUUAGUUUUUAGUUUUGGUUGAUUCAUAAUUUUGCGUUGUCCUUAAAAUUAUUAAUUUAUAUUUUGAUCAAUCCAUGUUGAUUUUCAUUUUUCUCAGAAUUCUUAGUCGUUGAUUUCAAAUAUCCAUGUUAAUUUAUAUUCGUCUCUAAGCAGUAAUUGAUUCUUGAAUAUCUAUGCCUUUAUUAUUGUUCUUUAAAUUAUUAUGUUGUUUUGGCAAUCUAGAUUUCGAUAUCCAUCUAAUUGUGUAACGACAUGAUAUAGCUGAGAAUUCUUGAUUGAUUAAUUUGUUAGUUUCGAGUUUUGAUUUUUAUUGAGAACUUUAACUAAAUAAAUUAAUUAUUAUCGACUCGAUUCUAAGUUUCUAUUUUUAAUGGAUUGAGUUUAAAUUUAUGAAUUAUUUAAUUGUAUGGAUUACGAUUGUAUGGAUUCCAAGUUUUGAUUUUUCUAGGUUACGUUUUUUAGGAUUAUAGGUUACUAUUCUUAUUAGACCAUUUGAUUAAAUCCAUGUUUUAAUUUUUUUUUUAACUUCAGUCUUGAUUGAUCUGUAACUUUAAGUUGUCUUUAAAAUUGUUAAUUUUUAUUGAUCCAUGUUGAUUUUUAUUUUUCCCAGAAUCCUUAGUAGUUAAUUUUAAAAUUCCAUGUUAAUUAAUAUUCGUCUCUGAGUAAUAAGUUAUUGAUUUUUUGAUGAUCUAUGCCACUAUAUGUUGUUGUUUUUGUGAUCUCGACAACGUUUAUUAUUUAUUUGAAACUAAGUUGAUAAUUUGUGAUAAUCCCGUAUAAUUAGUUUCAUUUUAAAACUCAUUUAUAAGCUAUUGAUUGAUUUAUCUUAAGUUUAAAUGCAUUUAAAGUUCCAACAGUUAGUUCUUGAUCGAUAUCUAGUGAUCUUGUUUAAGGCCAUUGGAAAAUCAUGAAAAUUAGCCUCUACCCUCACCUUUAUCAUUUUUGUUGAUUACUAAAAAAAUUUUACUUUGUGAUUUCGUUUUCUUUUUGUUUUGCUUGGUAUUUUUGUUUCUUAUGUUCUGUUGUUUUUCAAAUUAAUUUAAUUUAUUUUUAAAACAAAAUAUUUUUCUCAAAAGAUCCCUUUGAAAAUUUUAUUUUAAAAAAUAAUUCAUUUAGAGUCUUUAGAAUCAAAAUCUUAUUUUUUUAAAUAACAUGCAACCAUGUCUUGAUCGUUUCACAUCUUUCUCGGUUUUCAAUGAAAAUUUUGGUUUUGAUUAAGACAUGAAUCCAAGCUUGUGAUCCUAAAUACAUGGGAUAGUUCUAGGCUGGAUUCGUGUAUAUCAAUUGGGGGAAUUGGUGAAACCCCUACAUAAAAGAAUUUUUUUAAAACUCAUUUUUGCUACAACCUUUGAUACUUGUUGUAAUCAUAUCUAUAUAUUUUUAGGAAUUAUAUACAAGAUGUGUGUGAUAAUCGAUGAUUUCUUAUACUUUGAUCCUUUUUGCUAUGCUAAUUAGAUAACAAACAUGCUAGGAUUUCUAUAUUUUAUUAUACAUUAUUUAACCCUUGGUCUUAUGGAAGCGCAUUACAAAGUUAUCUAUGCUAUCCAGGUACACCCCUCAACACCCACCUUCUAAAUUAUGUGAAUAUGCUUGUCAUUGUGAACUACACCCAUGUUAGAUAGUGCUUAGGUGUCUUGAUAUAAAUGUUUCAUUUUUCGAUUAUUUUUUAUAAAGUACAUGUUGGAUGAUAUACUAUUUGAACUAACUUUGAUGUCUUGUGAUAGCGCUUCAGAAGCAGUUCGGGUAUGCACCCUAAAUCUUCUUUAUGAUUGUGAUUAGUUUUAUUGUUUGGCAUGCUAUAUUUUUUUGAAAUCACCUAGCCUACCUAGGUAUCAAUAAUCAACUGAAUUAAUUGCCACAUUUCCUUCAACUUAGUUAGUAGAGACCUUUGUAGGGCUUAGAGGGGUGCUACCUUUUAGAGGUACCUUCCCAAUAGGUAACGUGAUCCCUGGACCUAGACUCGGGUUUUUUAAAGACACACUUUUCCAAAAACAAUGGAGUCACUUCUUUAGGGUUUUAUUUCUUGUUUUAUUUUUCCUUUUAAAAUAAAAUAAAAUAAGCGGCGACACCAACUUUUCCAAAACUAAAUUUUCACCAAAUAAAAGCGAGUCUUGCCGAUCAAGUGGGGGCGCACGUGAAAAAUGCAAGUCCAAAAUGUGGUCGAUUGGAUUUUAGAAUUAUUGAUUCACUUGGAGAAAGGUCUCAACUAUAUAUGAAAAAAAAUGUUUUGCUUUUGAUCUUUGAUUCACUUUGAAGGACAAAUAGGAAUUGAGAUUUUGGCUUCCAAGUUCUUUAACAUUAACAGGCAUGUUAUGCUCCAGUAGUAAAAAGGAAGGAUGUCUAUGGAAACAGUAGAUACCAGUACUUUUAUGUUUCACAGCCAAUGGAUCAAAUGGAACUCAAGGCAAGGCAAGGCCCUUCUUUAUUUAAGAGUGUAAUCCACAUCAUUGUUCCCCAAAAGUAAUUGCAAAGUGGAGUGAGAUGAAAAAAAUUAUGUGAUAAAAAUAAAUAAAAGCAAAACAAUUCUCCUCCACUCUCUGCCAGUGUAUUUAAUAUACGAUGGUUUCAAUUCUAUAUAUAAUAAAAAAUGACCUCUCAAUUUUGUUUGUGAAAGUGGAAAGUGAAAAUGUGGUAUUCAUGUUUUAAGAUUAAGUAUUUUCUUGUUAAUGGAGAUGAUGUUUGUCAUCUAGGUGUCUUGAUAGUUGUCAACUUCUAGUUGAUGUUUAGUUUCUCCUAAAAUUAAUACUUUACUUAAUCUUUGAUUUAGAUUUAACUAUUACUGAUUUUGCUAUUCUCGAGUUUUCCAAUUGGUACAAAUUUGAAUGCACUUGCAUUUUGCUAUUCUAAAUGCUUGGGAUCAAGGUUUGUGCCUCUUCUACACAUAUCUAAUACCAAAAAUUAUGUGGCCUUAUAGUUGUUUACAACGAUGCUUGCACUUCAAGUAGGCUCUUAUACUUUGUUGUUCUAACUAGUUUCAUUUUCAAAAAAUGAACUUAAUCCCAAUGUUUUACGUUGUUCAUGUUGGUUAACAUUAUACUAGUUGUAUUUCUAAAUAGUUUGUACUUCUAAACUCUUUUGUAAAUUUACCUUUGUUGCUUAUCCAAUAUCAACUAAUUGGAUGGAGAAAAUUCACAUUUAUACUUUCUUAUUUAGAAAAAUUGCUUAAUUUUUUGCAUUUUAGUUGGAUAUUACAAUAAAGAAUUUUUUUAAUCAAGGUGAGAGAAAUAUAACUAGGCUUGAACAAAGAAAAAGAAAAAAAACAAAAGUCACACUUGACAACAUUUAUAAAGGUUAUAAACACUUGCCCACAAAAUGAAUUGCAUGUGACAAAGAAAUGGCAAACCACAAUUUUAUUGAAGUUAGAAAGCAAGAUGAAGUGGUACUAUUUCUUCUAAUUACAUAAGAAGCAUCAUACAACAACAUUAUGUUCAACUAAAAAUCAUUCCCAUAUAAAAAGUAUCAUCAUACAAUAUUGCAUUAACGAAAAAUGACACAAAGUAGUCUCUUAUUUCUACAUGAAUGCAUAUAUAAUAUGAUAAGAAAAAGUAUGCUUAUUAACUUAAAAUGACCUUUGAAACAAUAAACGUUAAACAUCCGAUGAAGAAGAUGCAUUGGUAUUCAAGCAAGAAUCUGUUGAAAUGGAGGUAACAUCCCAAGGUCCAAUCAAUUCAAUGGUGUUGUAUUCAAUCUCCUCAGAAUUCUCUUGAGCUCCGAAAUCUCCUUGACACUUUCUAAUUCUUUCCAACUCCAUUGCAACUUCCAUCAUUGUAGGCCUUUUCUUCCCAUUCAAGUUUAUGCAUCGUCUUGCAAGAAAAGCAAUUGCAUUAAUCUCUUCUUUUCUACUUUCUUUUACAACUUGAGCGUCAAGAAGAUCUGAUAAACGAUCUUCAUUCAUGGACAAUAUGAAAUAUGAGGCUAAACUUUUCCCUUCUUCUGAUGCAGUUGACAAGAUUGGCUUUUUCCCAGUUAAAAGCUCAAUAAGAACUAUUCCAAAGCUGUAGACAUCACUUUUUUCAGUAAAUUGGCUUGAUUGGAAGUACUCUGGAUCCAAGUAUCCAAAAGUACCUUGUACUUGGGUGGUCAAAUGUGUUUGAUCAAUGGCAACAAAUUUUGAAAUUCCAAAGUCUGCCACUUUUGCUCGAUAUUUAUCAUCUAAAAGUAUGUUAGUUGAUUUGAUAUCUCGAUGAUAGAUUGGUACGGAAGCUGCUGAAUGCAAGUAAGAAAGAGCUCCAGCAACUUCAGUAGCAAUUCGAAGACGUAUUUCCCAUGUAAUUGGGAACUCUUCAUUUUGGCCAUGGAUAUGUUCAGAAAGGGUUCCAUUAGGAAUGAACUCAUAGACCAACAAAGGCACUUCUGUCUCCAAACAACAUCCUAAUAGCUUAACCACAUUUCUGUGAUUAAUUUGGCAUAGAAUUACAACCUCAUUAAUGAAUUGUUCAAGUUUGCUAUCACUCAUUAUCUUCAACUUUUUAACUGCAACAAUUCUUCCAUCCAUCAACAUUCCUUUGUAAACAGUACCUUCGCCUCCUUGUCCAAUAACCCGAUUUUCAUUAUAACGAUCAGUGGCUUUCUCCAACUCUUUGGAAGUAAAUAAUUUGGUUUUAUCAAUAUUUCCUUCAGUUGAAGAUAAUUGUUGUUCCAAGAGUAAACCACCAUUUCUAUUGAAGCAUUUCUCUUUGUACUUAAUUUUCUUUCUCCUUUUUAGUACUAUGUACAACCACCAUGCACAGAGUACCAGAAGUAAUGUUCCAAGCGCUCCUAUUGUUAUGACUGCACAACUCACAACAAAGAAAAAUUGUUACUGUCUAGCAAGCUAAAAAUAUACUAGUUGAAUUCAAAAUAUGCUACUAAUUAAACUUUAUAUCACCCCCUUACCACAUGUAUGAACCCUAGAUUUCCAAGUUGAGAAAUGUGGUCUUAUUGUAGGUUAAUUAAAAUUUAUAGAACAAAUUCUUUUUUCCAUAGAAUAUAGUAAACCUAUAUUCUUAUAGAUAUAGGUUAAGUUUGACUAAACUAUCUAAAGUUGGGUCAGUUUUCUUUUCUCUUAAUUAUUUUCUCUUUUUUUUUGCUUUUGCCAAUAUUAAUCUUGUUAUAAAGUGUCCAAAAUUCCUAAUUAGUAUAGAUUCCUUCUUUUUUUUUUUUGUAAAGAAUAUCAUAUAGAAUAUUUCUAGGUUGAUAUAUUAUUAUAAUAUUAGAUUUUCUUCUAGAAUAAAGAAGGUUGUUGGAAAUAUCUCCAUAAAUAUUCUAGGUCAUGAAGGAAAAAAGUUAUGAUAUAGAUAUGGGCUAUUGAAGACUAUAUGAGGUGGAUAGAGAUGUGAGGAAGAACGGGAAGUACCUGGUGGAGUGAGAGGGCUUGUAGUAGGGUAGGGAUACGAAGAGUGGGGAAACAUGGGAUGUUUCGAGAACCCAACAAUUGUAUUUGGUUAUGUCCUUUGUAAUGUUUUGGUCUAUCCUCUAUAAUGUUCUCUAUUGUACAGUUGAAUGAUCCUCUCUCAUCCGUGGGCGUAGGCAUGGUUGGUCGAACCAUGUUAAAACCUCGUGUACCAUAUGUGUUAUUGUUUAUCUUUGUGUUCUUGAUUAACAAUGUUUGCAUGAAAGCUUCCGCCAUCAUAACAAAUCCAAAAUUGAUAAAAUAGUUGAUCUUAGGAGUACUAGUAUUUCACUUGUUCCUUUUGUAAAAGAAACACCAUUGUUGAUACUACAAUUGUCAUUUUUGCUUCUAUAUUCUUAUGGGAAUACUACAUCUAUAAUUCUGUGUAGGUUCUCUUUCAAACUUGGUUAUUGGAUUCUAUGUGCUAUCAUUUAUAAAACAUAAGGUGAGUGCAAAAUGGUUGGUCUAAGUUCAAACUUGACUUGAAAACCAUAGGUUGAUCCAGUCUUUUGGCCCAGCUCAAGCUAACCACUCAAGGAUUGAAAAUAUUUGAUUUGUCAAAAUUAGAAACUUGCCAAAAGGAGGAUAAAAGGUUAUGGUUUAGAUUUUGCCAACCUUGGGGUUAAGGUUUAAACUUUGGUUGUACUGAAUUGAGCUUGUGAGCCAAAAGAUUGCAGUUGACAUGGUGA
rnacentral:lncRNA from 1 species